UUUGGAUAAAUAAGGAUGCUUGUAUCUGAAAAGGCAUGUGUGUUCAAAAUUUAUAUUACACACACUUGAGCUAGAGUUCGGAUUUCGGAAAGUUUCAUUGUAGCUUAAGAAAAUGGUUCAAUGCAUUAACCAAUAACCAUGCAUAUCGUAUAUUAAUUUCCAAACUAUACAUCUUUAACGACUACAUCGAUCGAUCGAUCGGCGUACUACAACAUUGUUAUUCCAAGAUGUUAAUUUACCAUGACAGUAUAUUGGAAUUAGUCCACUAAAUUGGCUUGAAUGUUGAAUCCUUCACUAAGUAUCCCUUAAACCUAACCUUCUUUCCGGUUCAAUCUGGCUAUGCCAUGCAGCUUAAGCUUAUAUAGCUUUCAAUGGAAGUAGCUAGGAUUAUUCUUACAGAACAUCUAGCCAAAAUGAAAAUUGAUUGGUGAUCUGAAUUAUAUAAAUUAUCGUAGUCUUUGAGAAUGAUAGCAAUCAAUAGUUAAACGGUCUUCAAAUUCGGCCGCAUUUUACAAGACUGAUAUGUGCACAAGGAAAUAAGUUCCAUACAUUAAAUACAUGAUUGAGGAAUAUUAGUAUACGAGUAUGACAGAGAAACUAUAUAUGUCAAACCACAUUGCUUAGGAAAUUGCAUUACAUGUUUUCAUAUAUGUUGCCAAUUCACUUGGAUCACUCGGGUUCAAACACAGCUAGCCUUUUCAAUCAAUCAGACCAGUUCAGACCAACAGUUUGGUCCAACAAACUCUUGUUUGAAUAUGAGGAUUGGAAUUUGGAAAUAAGUAAACCGUGUGCCGUUUCAAUAUUGAAACAAAUUAUAUAUGCCAGCCAACAUUGACUUAGUUAUAUAAUCCCAUGCAUUCCCACCUCUAUAUAUAAGGCAUCAUCACACAGAAAGCCAAACUCAUCACAGUUCACAGAAAGACAUUGCAGCAAGCUAGCUAGCGUUGGUGUUUGUUAGAGACGAUAUAUAACUUGAAGCAGGAUCUGAUCAAUUAGUCUGAAGCUAUGGUUUUGCAUGUGUUGAACAUCUUCAGCUGCUUUUCGGAAAUCUCCGAGAGCAAACGUUUAAUCUGCGAGGGCGAUGUCUGUGUUCUCGGAAAUCGUCGACAGUUGGGCGCCGCACGAGGAAGAAGAUUGAAGAAGAGACACAGCCUUGGGAUCGUUUCGUUUGCCAGGAUUUCAAGGAGAAUGCGAUAGAGCUUCUAGCUCGACACAAGUCAUUUUAAGCUAAUAAGCUGUAUCACUAUUACACAGAUCUAAUAGCAACAAGGGUCAUCUAAAGGUGUUAAAUAUAUGUAUGGAAAUCCAUUUGUGAUAUUACGAUAUUUAUGUAAUACGUACUUUCAUCGAUCAGCUAAAGCAAUUAGUUUGGUUUUAUGUAAAUUGGGAUCCUUUUCUACCAAAAUUAAGACGUUGGCUGGUUGAUGUAUCUCAAUUCUCAUUAAGAAUUUCAUAUAAGUUGCUUCUUGCUCGUGGAUUUGUUGUUUUCCAGCUCCCAAAAAUUGACGAUUUCGUUGCUAGAAUAAAUGAGGGUACAUUUAGAGCAACACAAUCAUAUACACGAGAACCUAGCUUCGACUGUGUAAGCUAAUUGCCAUAACGGGUGAGAAAGCAAAGACAUCAAGGAAAUAGAUUAUGAAGCUCCUAAACCGAAGGAUAUAAUCUGUUCGUCUAACCAACCUCCACCAACAGAUAUCUACUUUUGUAGUUUUUUGUAUGCACAGUUUCAAGACAGAAAUGAUGCUGACAAGAUAUCUCCACCCUUAUAGGCAAUGUGCUUAUUCGACGUAAAGGACCAGCAUCCACUAACAAAGCAGCAUUGUAAUUUUUGUUUUUUUUUAAAAAACCCUUAACUUACCCACCCAUCAAUGAAAUAUGUCAGCGAGAAUGGAACCUAUAGCAUGCAUAUAAUCUUUACAAUAUUAGAUUUAUAGAAGUGAAAUUUACUCUUUAAAUUGAAAUCUACACGCUCAUUUUCUAUUUUUAGUCAUCAUUCUCAUAAAAAUACGAAAUUUGAGUCAUUAAGGACAAAAUUUAAGUUAUCAAAAAAUGAGAGUAUGAAUUUUAAUUUGAGAAGUAUAGAUUUCACUUCUCUAAAUGUAUAACUUACCAACAUGGUCACGAUUCACCAAUAACAAAACAGUAUUAUAUUCACUAUUAUUUAUGGACAUCUGUAAGAGAUAUAACGUACGGUGACAUAUCCUCCACCCUAAUAUAAUUUAUUAAAUCAUUGCUCAAGAAAUUAGGAAUCAAAUUUGUCAACUAGCAAAUUUGUUGAUCAUGAAUGACCAUCUCUCUCUCUGUUUGAUUUGAUGGUCAUACAAACCAACAAAUUUGCUGGUCGGUAAAUUUGAUUCCAAAAAAUUGGUUAGUAUUUCUGUAGAGUUUCGGUCAAAUUUGAGGGGAGCAGAUCACUGUCCCCAACUCCUCUGUCCCUCCUCAGUUCCCUGUCCCCCUUCGCUUUAUCCAACUAGAUCGUUGACAUCUGCCUUCUUACUCAUAAUUAUGUCGAAUUUACAACGUACUAACGUCCAAUUAUAGUUUCACUUUCAUAUAUACCAAAGCCAAAUGAAACCAAUAAUCUAGGAGCGCACAGGAUCAUAGUUUCCUUCACCAGUAAUCUUGAUUCUUGAAUCAAAGAUUAGGAAGAAAAAAGGAGAUCGGUUUGAGAGGCAAUGAUAGUGCACUGUGCACAUGUACAUUAUAAUAGCACCGGUAUGAAGAGGAAUUCUCAAAGCAAUUACAUGAACAGGCAUGAACAGGAGUAAAAUCUAAACAACCUAAUUCUCAUCAACCUGUAACCAUGUACAAGGCCUCGACUACAUUUAUGCAAUUAUGUUGCUUUAACAACUCCUACGCAAUCUGUCAUGACCACAGUGAAUCAUCUUCUGCCCGUGUGUGCUGCUUCUGCCAGUCAGUGAUCCUCACCUAGUAAAGCCAGAACAGGACUUUCUGUUAAACCUAUCUCUCCUCAAAUUCUGAGUAGAUGAUAUAUCAAGUCGAGCAAAUACAUACCUUCAUUUCAUCUUGGCAAACUUCCCUUUCGAGGUCAAAAAUGGAUAAUCGCCAUACCGUUCUAUCAUAACAAGAUCAGAAGAUGAAACCCAGAGAUAUACGUCUCAGCUAUGUACUCUAUCUGUUGAGUCCUCCAGAUAACCAUCUGGACUCAGAGUUGCAAAGCCAAGUCUGGCUGCUGAGAGUCGAUAACACCAGAUGACUGUUUCACUGGAGACCCUGGGCACUGGAAACCAAUAUUUAAAUCUGGAGGAAGACAUUCCUGUUUCUGUCUUGGCUGGGCACAAGGACUGUGAGCCCUCCAAGGGGGUGGCACCUGAAACCUAGAUAAAUCAGCUGCUGCUAACUGAGGGAAAAAUAUAGGCCGAUUUUGGAACUGCGGUUCAUUCACCAUAUGAACAGGUCGUGGUAAAAAAGUUGGAAAUGAAAAACUGUUCUCAGUCUGGAAUUGCAUUGCACCAGAAUUAGGAACCACCCCUCGAACUCGUGAAAUUUGUGAAUGAAACUCUCGGGAUGGGUUAUAUAAUGAAUCUGAAAAGAUCUGACCAUUAGCUACUGUGGGAUUGUCUGUUGGCUGUUUAAACGCUCCACCCCCAAUAGACAUCCAAGCACGGGCAGUAGCUGCUGCAGCAUUGCUUGGGUCGUCUCUUCUCGUUGAUGGAACCGAUGACAUGACAGGUUUAGUAUCAGUUGACGAUUGAGUUGAUAAGUUCUGUUGCUUUUGUGUCUUUUCCGCCAAUUUUUUCAUCAGCUGUACUGGGUCACUAAGACCCUGCUCGUGUGCAUGAGGAAAGUAAGCUUCAGUUCUUUCCAUUUGGCUAGGAGCCCUAUCAGAAGAACCAAUCAUCCGAUUCUCCGAACAAGCACUGGCACCUUUCCCAUUAGGCAACCGUGAGGUAACAACACCAUUAGAAUCCGGCAUCUUGAAAGGUAAAGACUGCGGAAUAUUCAUGUUCCUCAAUGCUGUACCUCUGGACCUUGAAGCUGCUGGCUCUGAGUUUCUUGCUAAUUGCUUUUCUGGAACAAGGUUGGCGUUAUUUUGAUUAGCUGAGGGUACAGAGUUCAACUCAACUUUCUUUGGGACCUGUUUCCCACUCUCAAUAAAUCUGGAUUGUGGAUUUUGCUGCUGAUGAAAUGCAUUAACUGCAUGACCACCUUUUGUUCCAACAGAACUAAUGACAGAGUGUUUCUCUUCUGAGUAAUUCCCCCUAGAAGAACCAAAUAACAAUGGUCUCCCUGCUGAAGUUGGCACACUAACACAUUGCUGUCUUUCUUCAAUAACAGGCUUAGUAACAGAGCGAUCCUUAGCAGGAACUGAAAUCCUUAAAGUUCUAUUAUCCUUUCUAGGUUCAUUGUGUGAAAAGAAUCUUGGAGGCAAAGCAGAUUGACUUUGGGUACCUUUGUUUACCAUCAGUACAGGGGUUGGCAGUGGCUCAUAUUCUUCGACCCAUCCACGACCAAAUUUACAACCAUCAGGUAAGGCCUGUUCGAUCCUCUUUGAUGCAACUUUCCAAGCAAUUGGUCCAAGACUUCCAGAAAAUCGAGCCAGGCUCCUGGCAUAUGCAUAUUCUGCAUGAAGCCCGACCUGAUUGGAGAUUUCAAAACAUACAUAUUACGAAACAUGAUACAAAGCAAAAUACAGGAGACAAAAGAUAUAAAAAUAAUAAUAUAAAACAUGUGUGCUACAUACUGCAAUAAACUGCUUAGUUUCACCCUCGAAAGUUGUGAAUAUUGAUUCUGAUGUGAUCACAGGCUCACUAGAUAUGUUAUAGGUUGCACGACGGUUGUCAUCAAGCACAGAUGGCUUCUUCCCAGCUUUAGAUGGCAUACUCGGCAUACUCUUCCCUAUAAGGAAAUUAGAGGAGACUUUCCAAUGAGACAACAAUAUCACAAACUAGCUAUACCAGAUCCUUACUGAUCUCAAGAUACAGCCUUUAUCAGCUAGUACCUCAAAUGGCAAAUAUUUGAAAUACAGUAACAGAGAUUUAAAGACACACAUGUUCCUAUAAGCAACUAUCAUUGUAGAUCUACAUGAUUGCAGGCAACAAUAAGCACAUUACUCACCUGAUAGCAUUUCUUCUGUUUUCUCUAGACUAGCUUCAUUCAAGGAUAUAAUACCCUCUACAGGCCCAUCAAUGUUGCUAGGUCUCUCAUAACCAGUUCCUUGUGUUGGAUGGGAACUGUUCUGGACUUCUGCAGCAUUGGCAAGAGUGGCACCUGAGGAGAAAUCUGAGCCAAUAGGUUCCUGUAACGUUCGGGACAGAGGCUUCUUUAUUGGUUUCUUUACCAAGGAAUUUGACUUUGUUUUCUGCACUAAUUUGACCUCCUUUUCUGACCUUUCAUAGUCAAUUCUUAACCUCUCAAAUUUUCUCCUCCCUAGCUCUUGUAUAGAUGAUGCCUUUCAAGAGUACCAGGAUAAAACAGUAAGAACAAACACCAUCAAAGAAAACAUUCAAAUUUGAAAAAUAAGAUAGAAAGACCGAGUUACCUGUUUAUGGUAUAUCGUCUCGGGUGAAUUGUAUUGCAUUGCAUUUGAACAUAUUAAAAAGACAUCACUCUGCAACCAAGAGAAACAGAUUACCAAACUAACAAGACACUCCUUUCCUCCAUAAACAUAAUUUCAUAGUCAUAAACAGAAAUCUUGUAUAACAAGAACAGCUAAUCAAUAAGGUAAACUUACUUCUACAUAGAGAGGGGUCAGUUUAUAAUUUGAUGUCAUUUAUUUCAAUUAAAUGUCCCAGGUUGCCCCAACCCAAAGGUUUACAACGUAAUGCUCCAUUGGUCACAAAUCUGCUAGAUAUGGUAGACUAGUAAACUGCUUCUACUCUAGAAAGACACGUAUACAUCAAUAGAAUAAAUGUUAAAAGGCAUCGGUUUCAAAUUCAUUUACAUAUGUAUACAAGACAAGUAGACAGCAAGGUAGAACUUAGAUGGAAACUUAUAGUUAUACAAAACAUUUCUAAAGUUACUAUUUUACAAGUUCACGUGAUGGCAAACAUGGCAUGCACCAGGAAAAUCAUGCUACCUCUCCUCCCCAACCCUAGGUGCAUUUCCCAUGCAGCCAAGCGAUUCAGAAUUAAUAAUUGUAACUCUAGCAAUCAUUCAAAUUAACUAGAUAUACUGAUAAAAAUAAAAAAUAAAAAAUAAAAACAGAACGAGCAUGAAUCCAAAACGAGGAAGAACAAAAAUGAUAGGUGUGCUCCAUUAUUUUGUAAAAAGUGCUUGCACGCUCCUUCACAAGAAACUUUCACCUUACUCAACCCAAAAGGAUCCCCUAUGGACAAUACAAAAACCAACAUUGAAACAGCUAUCUUUUCAGAUGUAAAAAAACAACCAACCAACCUUAGGUGACUAGCUACAACCCAAUCCCUCAGACAACUAAACUAAGUUAGUUUAGCUGAUUCACCACUACUUGAGGCAAGGCAAAUGAAAUAUCAAAAUUCCAAUCCUCAAUUGAUUACUGAAGAAAAUACAAACAAAAAUGCAUCCUUAGAUCAGGUUCAAGAAUCAAGAUGCCUAGAUCCUUGCCAAAUUUUUCUCCAACUAACUGUUUACAUCUUUAGAUCCUUGAAGAUGUAAAUUGUAAAAUAUUAUGACCAUCAAAAUAACAUAAAACCCACAUCCUGCACCCUUAAUUUUUCUAAGAAGUGAUGCUAUCAUCAUUGUAUUUUGAAUGAACUGAUAAGCAUGAGAUUUAAAACGGCAGAUCCCCUUGCAUAAGGUAUAGUAACAUUACAGAAGUAUUACUAAGAAUCAAAUUUUAAAGACUAACACUAUUCUUAUUACUUGAUGUUUUCCCUCAUCUUUCACCUAUCAUCCUAACUCCCAAAAUAAAAUAGGAAACACCACGCUUGGCCAUAAGAUGGUGUUCACAGCAUGCGGAAACUAAAAGGGAGAAAGAAAGAAAAAAAUCUACCCCUGACAUAACUCAAAGAAAGUUGGACAGCUGUCCCCCAAGACUCAUAAGUACACAGUUGAGUAGCAAAAAAACACCAACCUCAAAUUGUUCUAGUGUAGAAUAUGUUCCAUUUGCCAAUUGCUUCCUCACCGUUGUGAAAUCCAUGGGAUGCUCAAUGACAUCAUGAUAGUCAGGAAGCUGCAAUAUCAAACAUUGUCAAACUGUACCCCAACUUUACAUCGAAUUAGCUGCACAUUCAUUCCAAAAGGAAAAUUUCACACACCUCUUCAGGAUCAACAGGUUCUGCAUACACGCCAUAAGUGUCCUUCCUGCCACAAUGAGAAGUCAAGCAUCAGAAACACGAAAACUUAACCAAUGAGAAUCCCCAAACACAAUAGAAGAAACCGAGGCGCCAUACUUUUGAAGCUUGUCGAGAAUCAACUCCAACGUCUUCUUAUCCGGCAAUGGAGUGACAGCCUGAUGAUGAUCCGACGGCGUUCCUGAACAAACACAGUGAAAACAACUCAGCAAACUCCACAUUCAAACUCGCAACGAAAAUGCUGAGACAAACCGAAAAGCAAACCUGGAGGGGAAUUGAGCUGCUUGGAGUGUGGCUUCAGACCCCGUUCCUGUCAAAAUCCAAUAGGCCCCAUGAGAACCCCAACAAAAUUAAAAAGAAAGAAAAGACUGCGUUAAUGAGACAGAGACAGAGACAGAUAAGAAGGGGGGAGACAGNNNNNNNNNNNNNNNNNNNNNNNNNNNNNNNNNNNNNNNNNNNNNNNNNNNNNNNNNNNNNNNNNNNNNNNNNNNNNNNNNNNNNNNNNNNNNNNNNNNNNNNNNNNNNNNNNNNNNNNNNNNNNAGAGAGAAAAGAAAUGCCUCUCUCUCUCUCUCCUCACUCUCACACUCUCUGUGUGUCUGUGAGUAUUAUACAAGUCUCUGGACCAAUCAGACUACUCUACUGAGCUGGACUCUCACCCACACUAUCUCUCUCUCUCACUUCAUCUUCUUCUUCUUUCAUUACAGAUCCACACUCCCUCUGAUUAUUACAUACCUCACAGUCAUCGUCGUCAUCACCGCCGUCAUUUCCUUCGUAAUCCUCGUCUUCGUCGUCGUCGUCCUUACUGAUCGGCCGCUUCUUCAGCGGCGGCUUCCUCUCAUCCUCGGAUUCCGACGACGACUCCGGCGCGUGGGAGUUACGCGCCAGGGGAGGCGGUGGUUGUUCCGGGUGGAGCUUGGCCAUGAGCUUCAGCUUCUUCUGUAUUCUAAUCUCCUCGUCUUCGUCGGAGUCCUCGGAGUCGUCGUCCAGGUAGUCGUCGUAGUCUAUGGUGUACUUCACAUUCCGGCGCCGGAGACUUCUCCGGACGUCCCGCUCCUCCGCCGGCGAUUCGCCGGAGCGGCGAGCCAGAUCUGCCUUGGACGGCCUUCCCUUCUUCUUCCCCCUCACGAUCUGACCCAUGCGUGGUGUGGUGUCCCCUCUCUCUCUCUCUCUAAUACCCUCUCUCACUCUGAGAGUCUUACUUUCUCUCUCUAUAAACGCGCUCUGGUUUCUCUCUCUAUCUUUUGGUUUGGUUGCAUUAUUUUCGAUGGUGUGGCUUGGCCUUUUUCGAAAUGGGGGGCUGUUUCUGUAGUCCGAGCCUCUGUCCGGGCCUCAGCUUUGGAGGUGAGCAGGUCAAAUAAAUCAUUGACGGCGUCACUGGUUGGGAAAGACGGCGUUUGGUGCUGACCGCUGCCCGGCCGAGGCUUGCGUGCUGCCCGCGAUUCUUGCGCAUUUUGCCUUUUUCUAAUGGCCAGGGGAGGUGGUUGGCGCGUGAGUCCACGCCUUCUCUAAUUUUUCUACACAUGCGUUUUUGGAAAGUGGAUCACUCACACAAAAAUUGAAACUCUGAAUGUGGAAACUGUUAGAAACAAGCAAGUAGAGACCAAGAACGUUAUAUUUUUCGGAUCUGGUCUAUCAUCUAUGUCUGUAGAAAUUAAAUCUCAAUGUACUUUUUUGCGGUGGGAGUGAGUGUUCUACGAUUGUAAAGUUUUACUAACACCAAUGACUCAUAAAGUUUUUAAAAUAUAAUGUGGUAUCAAUCAAAAAUGAAAUGUUAUAUUUGAAUCUUUUACUACAUAUUUUCACAUGAAUACUCGUAUUUAGAAAUUUAAAUUAAGUGUGACCGUGAAUGUAAUCAACUUUGGUAGUUAAAUAACCUGAACUUGGAAGAAAGAAAGAAAGAAAAAAAAAACUAACUUGACUAAAUUGGAGUCUUGGAUCUUGUAUGAGAGUUACUAUUAGUAAAUACUAAAGUUGUGAUUUCUUAAAGUAUCAAGAAAAAUCCAUAGAGGUGAUAGAGCUAAAUCUAAUUAAAAUUGGAAUAUGAAAUUAUGAAUUUAGAUAAAGGAGAUUAUUACAUAACAGUCAUCUUAUAAGAAGGUGAGAACCGAUUGAACAUAAGGUUCUAUAUUUACUACUUGGGUAUUGUUCACAUAGCUGUUUGCCAUGUAUAUUAUUAUACCUAAGAAUUAGUAUAACAAAAACACUGAUCAUUUUUUUUUUCCUUUUGUGAAAAGAAGAACUUUCAUUAUAAUGUCUGAAAAAAUGUGCAAAGCUCUCCUCCUUCUAAAACUUAUUCUUAACGAGACUUGCUAAAACUUUCAUUGAUUGUCUUUAACUUGAAUAUAAUCUCUCUUUCUUGCCAUGUAACAUCAAGCAUCUUUUUCUUUUUUUUGUUUCAAGCACAUCAAACAUUUUUAAUGGUGUGUAAUUAAGCCAACACGUGAUGUUUAGUUCCACAAAUUAGAAGGCACGUGGGAGAAAAAUGUGCACGCUCAAUAAGAGGCGAGUAGAGCUACUUCUCUGGUUGGCAAUAAUGGAAAGAGACCCAUCGCGAAGCUGGGCCCACUUUGAAAUGAACAGCCAAUUUAAACAGUUGUAAAUUUAUAAUUGGUCACUCCCUCUCUAAUUUCCCGCUUUCUUUUCCACCAUUUUCGGUGCGGUUCUCUCUUGUUUUACUUUACCUCUAAUCAAAAUCCAUAAGAGCUCCAUGAUUGUGGUUAUGAGAAUCGGACGGCUGUGAUAUGAUUUGACCAUUUGUGUGAUUGAAACAGACGGUGAUUAGACUAUUUGGGGAUGUGGGAUUCGGACAUCGGAAACCAACAACUGAGUGGGACCUAAUUGCCUGAAAUUCAGCUGGUUUUUCUUGGUAUUGAACCCGAACCCGACCCCGACGAGUCCUAUUUAUGUGUAGAAUCUUGUACACACGUAAAUUUUCCUAUACUAGACAUGUAACAAAAAUAUUUGUAUGUUACACACGUAUCAUAAAUUAAUCGAACAAACUGACAGCUGAUCAUGAGACUGUUAACUUUCAUCAGAACUGUCCAUUUAUUUGAUGCAAUUAGCUGAGCAAACGAUUCUUGUUUAUAUUGAUUUUUUUACAUAGGUGAUAUUCAUUAAUUAAUUCAACUUUUAAACGGUUAAAAUUAUGAUUUACAUUAUCAAAUGUAUAUAAAUAAUUAGAGGUCCGGACGCACACGUACAUACUAGUCCGGACGUAAAUAUUUUUCUAUGUAAUAGCCGCUCCGGCCUUAGGCUAACAGAAUAUUUUUGAAAAUCUAAUAACACAUCAUACAGACUAUUUAGAUGUGUUUUGGAAAGCUUGUAACCAAGCUGUGUUGAGCUUAUCUUUAUAUUUGCAACAAAGUUAUAUAGUAGUACUUUCAUAAAAAAUAAAAUAAAAAGGUAAUUGAUAUAUAGUUUUCGAAGCCAUAAUUGAUAUAUAGUUUCAUGUUCCUUUUUGAUGAAGAAUUGAUAUACAUAGUUACAUACAAGUGAUAAACAGGGUUAUAAAUGAAUAGAUGUGAAUCUAGAAGCCAAAGAUGGACCGUUUUAUCUUUCUAUUUUGGUCAUAGAACAUAUUCAAAUCAAAUAACGUACAUGACUAUAAGCCAUAUAUAUAGGGCAUUUUUCUUCAUCACUCUUCCUUGACUUCCUUCAGAUAUUGAAGAUAGUCUUCAUUGUCCACCAACACCUGGAGAGAUUACGUACCAUGCAUAUAUUUACAGUAUCAAAGAAUGUAAUUAAACUUGCACCAGCUCCAAGCUAAGAAUAAAGAAAACUACAUAACUAUAUAUAUACAGGAUAUUAACUCUUAGCAGUAAAUCAACAUUUCGUUAAUAAUAGCAAAUCAACAUGUAAAUCAAACCAAAUAGUAAUUCAUGACUGCUCUGGAUAUGUUUGUUCCUUUACUUACAAAAUGAAUGAAAGAAACCCUUGAGAAAAAUAAAACAGAAAGGGCCGGGGGUUUUAAUUACCGUUUCGAAGCCAUCUGAAUCAAGGAAUGCAGUGAUUUUGGAAUUGGACCUGGUGGUCGAAUUAUUUUCCCACCAAGUUCCUGGAUAACCUGUUCAACCACUGCUGCACUCUUGUAUACGUCAUCAGUGCCGAUAGCAACCUAAAAUUUUCAAUCAGAAAAACUGUAUACAAUUGAGAAAAUGGAACAGUUUUCUGAUCAACGAAAUCCCGGAAAGAUCAACAAAAGCAAAGAGAAAGAAUGAGUCAAGUCAACAAUGACUUGGCAACUCGUUUCCUUCUUAGUUUAGUAUAGAUGGAUGAAUAUUUGGAAUUAGUUGGGAAUCAUAUAUAACUGAUCACCUGUGCAUAUCCAUUUCCCUUGGUGUACUUGGUCACAUUAUAAUUAUAUUUGAGCUCGAUGAUGACCGUCUGAGUGUAGUUGGAUCCAUAGCCAACCAUAGCUACAGUAUACUGCAUAUAUCCAGCACAUAAUGAAGAUGGAGUAAAAGUUAAUACCAAUUAAGUUCUAGGGUAAUAUGCAUAUUACAACUUCCUACAGGAGAGAUUUGGCAAGUUCCAUUACCUGCUCUUCAGUUUUGUUGUACUUUGGCAGUAGCAAGUUCAUUCCCAAGGCCUGCAUUAUCAUAUAUAUCGAGGAUGCUAGAGAUUAACAUAUAUCGUAAUUUACCGUUUGCUAUGAGGAAGGCUAGGGUUUAAGAUUUAACCCAAGAUAACUAGAUAGAGAAUGUUAAUUUGAACUAUAUACCUUUUCGUAGAACUCAAUAGAACGAUCAAUAUCAACCACAUUAAGACACAUAUGAUUAAGUGGCUCUGGAGUUGGUGGCCUGAGGAGGAGCUCCAAACUGUAGCCGUCGGGAUCAUUCACGAAGGCGUAGAUGGUAGUUCAGCCUGGUGCGACUGGCCCUGGUUCACGAGCUAUCACCCCACCAGCAGCUCGAAUUUUUUCAACCACUGUAUAAAUCUGAUUAAAGAAACAAAAACAACAACGUCGACGUCGUUAUCUAACGUUUAAUUAACCCCAGAUACAUUUCUAAGCAAAAGCUUAAACAGAACUAUACACGUACGUCUUGAGUUGUAAUGCCGAAAUGACUGAAGUCUGUUCCGAGUUCUAACUUGUCAACUGCAUUGUCUGUGUGAAUUAAGAUAUUUAGAACUAGUCUAUCAGAUCUUCAGAAGUCAUGGAAUUAAGAACACAAAAGAAGGUCGAGGAAGUAUUUAGAAUAGUAGAAUUUAGGGUUUUCUUUGGGUUGUAAAUUAGGAGACAUUAUCGAGUGCAUAUAUAACAUACGGUGUUGGGUGAGCCCCAGAACAAAUUGAGUCUCUUCAGAUCCAAACCCAAUAACUGCAUUUGAGAAAUUUGCUUCUGGGCAAUCCUUUCUGCUCAACACUUUCAUCCCAAAAAACUCUGUGAAAAAACUGACCAUUGCCAUCAAUUUUCAGAGAAACAAAUUAGCUAGGAUCUCAUAUAUACAUAACUAUAUAUUGAGUUGGAUCAAAUUAAAGUUUUGCCAAAAUUUCAUACUUAAUGGUUCGAUUAAGAUCACCAACUCUUAUAUUGGCACGCAGGAAACGGCGAUCAUCGUUUUGAACCCAUUCCAAAACAUGGUCAGAGGGAUUACUGCUAGCUUCUGUGCUUAAAUCAAUCUGAUUAACACGAAUUUAAUUUUUUUUUUUUUUGGUUGAUUAGGGAUGAAAUAAACAUAUUCUUUGCACUGGCUAGAGAACUCAACUAAGUACUCAACCAUGCAUAAUUAACAUGCAUGCAUGCAUUUAGAGAGCUUACCAAAGAAAUGAGCAAAAGAACACAGUAGACCAACUGCUGGUACUUCAUCACCAUCUUCAUAAGCUUAGAUUGAAAAUUCUUGUAGAAUGAAUAUCAAUUGUAUGUGCCUAGCUCUCACCUAUUUAUAAUUUUCUGCAAGCUUUUUUAAUUCUGACUUUAUUUUAUCAGAUAAUAAUCGGCGUUAUAUUAUAUAUCCCUUUGACCAAAUAUUAGUCCUUGUUCUAAUUACUAUAGUCUUCCUCUGUAAUUUAGACUAGGCUUCUAAAAGGCCCCGCCUAGGACCGCCUAGUCCCUGCCUAUGCUCUACGCUGCAACAAGCCACCUCGUUUUUCUUCUAGGCCUUUGUGUUAGGCUGUGGGCAAUUAGGCGGCUGCCUAGCUAGCCUAGGCUACUAAGCUCUCCGAUUAAUUUGUUUUCUUUUUGUGGUGGGGUUGAUAUUUUGGGGAGCAUGAAAGUAUAUAUAAGAGUGAAUUAUGUGUUUAAAAUUAGAAGUGUAUGGGGAAGUUAUGCUAAAUUUUGAAUAAAUUUAUCAUAUAAAUGGGUUUCAUAAGAUUUAUGUUGAAUUAAUUAUCCAUAUUUGACUGUUUUCAAGUAUUUAAGUACAUAAAAUAUAUAUUUUUAAUUAAUAAAUCUUUAAAAAAAUAAAUCGCCUAGUCCCUACCUAGGUUGUCCAGGUUCUAGGCUGCGAGUUACCGCUCGCCUACCAGCGCAUUUUAGAACAUUAAAUUUAGUUGAUUUAUAAUUUGGGUGAUAAGAUUAGGCUUUUGCCUGCUAAUUAUUACCUAAUUACCAAGUUGUGAUUAAUUAUUUCUAUUAUAAAACUUUCUGGGCUGUGAAUUAGUCAGAUGCAUGUAGUCUAAUUUCUGGAACUUAAUUAAUAUCUAGUAAUUACAGGGUUAUUUAACGAGCUGGUCUCUUUUGAUUGGUAUUUGCAUAUUGACUUAGUCUAAAUUGCAGAGUCCGUUCUUUUCCCAAAACUUAAGUUGAAUAAAAUUUAACUAGCAUGUUGACCCGCACAUAGUGAGUGUGUGAAUUUUUUGUUUCUUUUACUAUUACAGUUAUGCUAAAGUCUGAUUUUUCUCUCCACUUUUAUCUCCCCCUCCCACAUUUUAAGUUUCUUUCUUUCUGUUUUUUUUUUGUUUUCAACAUUUGCAAUUACUAAUUUAUCUUUUAUCUAUUAGAAGACAUAUUUUAAAAUUUUAAUCAAUCAAGGACAUUAUAUGUAGUUCAAAAAUUUAACCUUUGACAAGUCAAAAAAGCCUUAUGGCUUUAUUAAUAGAAAUUUGGCAAAUUUGGCAAAUCGUCGGUGAGCUGUGGCUUGGUUGGUUAAGGUGUUUAACUGAUAAUUUUGAGGUCACAUGUUUAAACCUCACUGACAUAUAUAGAGUGUGUGAGUUAUUAAUAAAUAUUUAUAAAAAUAAUAAUAAUAAUAAUAACUACCAAAUGAACUACGUCUGGCUGCUCUUUGGGUUUAGGCUGCUCCUCCCUCUGCAACACCCAUGAUAGUAAACGAGAUCAUAUAUAAUUAAGUAGUGUGGCGGCUUAAGUUGGCAGAGCUAUCUAUUUAAAGGCCAAGAGUCGCCAUGGCACAAUGGCACCCCCCAUGCCACCAAAACAUGCUAGUUAUGCCUCCUAUUACAUGAACGGAAAACCAUUAUCUUUUGGCCUCCACGAUCCAUAUAAAUACUUGACAAAACAAUUAUCAGUUUAGAUUAAUUAGAACUAUGUAGUAUAUCCAGUGCGUACCGGUGGAGAAUUAAUUGAAAUAAUGAUAUAAAAACUUAUAUUGUAAUGCGUAUUUUCAGACUAAAAUUUCUAACUCUGUCCAUGUUUUGUAGUUUAGCCACUUAUGAACAGAUACAUUGAAAGAUAAGAAAGUAUGUCCGUACUAAAGUUUGUAAAUUCAAGAAUUCAAGAUUAGAUAAUCUCUAUAAAUUUCUGAAGUACGUAUAUAUGACAAGUCGAUUCGGCAUAUCAAUACUUGGUAACAUUAGCAAUAUUUUGUUUGAACCCUUACUGAUGAUCAACUAGAUUCAAUUAGAUACCGACCGAAUAUAUGGUCAAUUGAAAACAGCCACUCGUCUUAAUUAAGAGCGGUAUUGAAGAAUUGUUCCAACAACAGAAGCUUGAAUGAUGCAAACUUCUUGUGUUAUGUCAUCCAUGAGUCAUGACAUGCAUGCAUGAAUAUAUGAUCUUCAUGAGAAGUCAAAGUGUUUGUGAUGAUGAGAGAUUGAAAUGGGAAAUGAAAUUUGUGAAGGUCAAGAUGGGGGUGUUGAAUAUGAUUUUCAUUGAUUCACAAUAUUACAAUUGUACAUAUAUAUACUAGCUAUUCUAGAUUCUAUGUAUAUGUAUGGAAAACAGUAAAUACAAAUAAAAGCAUUUAUACGUAGUUAUAACAUAGAAUCAAAACAGCCUACAAACACGCCCCCCCUUAAACUUGGCGGCUCCGGACAAACAAGUUUGGUGGAAAGGAGAAGGUGGCGUGUCUUGUGAAGCGAUUUUGUGAGUAAAUCAGCAUGUCGAUCAACGAAGGGAAUGAAGCAGACUCGAUGACUUCCAAGGGCAACUUUUUCGUGAACAUAAUGAUAGUCAAGCUUGAUAUGUUUGGUGCUAGCGUGAAACACUGUAUUAGAAGUCAUGUACGUGGCACUAAGAUUGUCACAGUGCAAUAAGAUAGGCAACUGAACAUGGGCUCCAAGCUCAUGGAGUAGAUAACCAAGGCAACUAAACAUGGGCACCAAGCUCAUAGAGUAGAUAACCAAGCCAAGUAGUUUCUGCACAGGCAACUGAACAUGGGCUGCUUUUUGGAACACCAAGAAAUUAAGUUUGAACCAAGAUACUGGGUUCACAUCCAAAAUCAAUUGGUAAUUGGUAGAGUGGCUCAAACCCUUAUAAUCCACAAACAAUGUCUCAUUUUUCCGAUGUGAGAUUUAUAUCUCAACACGCCCCCGCACGUGUGACGAAUUUUCAAGUCUAACACGUGGACAACAUUUGGGGUAACGUGGAGUUCGUGUGGCCGUUACGUAUUCACAAGUGAACAUGGGUAACCCGCUCUGAUACCAUGUUGAAUAUGAUUUUCAUUGAUUCACAAUAUUAUAAUUGUACAUAUAUAUAUACUAGUUAUAUAUUAUAGAUUCUAUGUAUGGAAAAGAAUAAAUACAAAUAAUAGCAUUGAUAUGUAGUUAUAGCAUUGAUUCUAUUAUAAAAUAGCCUAUGAAUUCUCUAUGGGAGGAGAAUCAGAUGGCUGGGUUUUCUACGUGGGGGGGGGGUGGGGUUGCUAGAAAACUCAAAUUCAUAGAUGAACUUGCGCAUCUGAACCAGUCAAAGCUAGUUUCAGAAUUCCUUAACAGCAGACUAGAUUAAGAAUUCAAUAGCUCAAUUUGAAGAGAAAAUAAAAGAUGCUCUGAUUACGGAGCAAUUCGACAAGACAAAAUCAACAAGUCACAUUUAAGAUCAACUAAUCUCAUGAGAAAACGGAGUUAUUGCACAAGCGAAACAACUCUCUUUUCUGAGAGGCAAACUGUCUGUAAGUCUGUAACGUAAUGUAGUUGCUUUGACUUUACUAUGAAAAAAACACUCUCCUUUUCCUGUUCCUCCAUGUGACGUAACCUUAAUCUGCUAUUUCAUUUCAGGACUAAAAGAGAUUCAGUUUGCAUGUUGUGGUCUAAUCUCAACGCUCAGGCUGCUUGUUUUGUCUGCCCUUCUCAUCCCACUGCUCUCCAACAGCGGGGAGCAUCUCUUUUGGGAUCCAGUGCAUCCGAUGGUGGAUGAACUAUUUGAGCGCUCAAAAAAAAAAAAAAGUCCCAAUGAGCGUUACUGCAAAAGCUAGGGUGUAUAUUUCGGUUGCAGUGUGAAAUUCGUAUGGAAUUAGCAUGUCCAGCAAAGAGAGGAAGCACGAUAUUUGAUUUUGUGUACCAUUACAAAAUCAGAGGGCACGCAGUUAGGAACUCUAUCAUCGUGUUUUUGUGAAAAUAAUAGCCAUAUAUGAAAAAUUAAAAAUCAUGCAUCUUGCAUAGUUUUGAAUCUGAAUUGAACUAUUUACAUAGAAAAAUAUUGGAGAAGAAUUGUACGACCUAAACAUUCACUGAAGCUAUCCUUAUCAUUCGCCGAUGAUAAAGAUGAUGCCUCCGGCGUUGCCAAUUUGCCUUUCUGAGUUCACAAUGUCAUUUUGGCAAAGUUACCUGAAAAAAUAAAUAUGUUUAAAAGCAAGACAGUUGCCCUCGGAACAAGAAUGAAAGGAAAGGAACCAAAAGAGGUUACCUCUGGUGCUAUUCUAGGACGGAGGAGAAAAUAAGUCCUGAAAGAACAGGCCUAAAUCGCCCUUGUGAACAUCAAAUGCCAGCAUUUUGUCCACUACUGUCUGCAUUUGAAUUAAAAAGCGGUAACUAAGAACAUGAUGAACAUGGUAGGAAGGUGUAAUUACUGUAGAAUUGUUUCAUAGCUUUUCACAAGCCAUGUGUGAAUCAUGGGAAUCUAACUUUGUUCAGGGUUCCAUCUAAUAUAGAAAUUGAUGUUCGAUUGAGUUCUUGGAUAAGAAACCUGGUAUUCCUGAUCCUGAAUUGCUAAAUUCUCAUUGCACAAUCGCUCGACGUGCUGAUUAUUUCCAAUAGCUUCCAAUAUAAAUGCUGCUCUCUUGAUAACUUCCUCAGGGACACCUAUGUAUAAACGUUAUUUCAAAAUAUUCAGCUAUUAGACUGAAGCUGCCACCACCAACAGUUCCUUAAGACUGUAGUGGAGAGAAGGAAGUAAACUUGUUUCACCUAUGUGUCACAAAGAUGUGUGUGUGUGGUGGAGAGAAGGAAGUAAACUUGUUUCACCUAUGUGUCACAAAUAUGGGUGUGUGUGUGGGAUGAGGAAAACUCUAAAAUACUUUCUUCUGCCUUUUCUGGAAAUCACUAGCAUAAAGUUCCAAGCUCCCAAAACGUACCAGCAAGUAGUGCACAAUGCAGACCUGCAGGAUGUAAAAUUGUAAACAGACCGAUUCCAAUAACAAUACCCAAUGGGCAUUCUGAACUUACAUAGAUAUAUCUGUAACAUGUCUGUGUGUGCGAGUGCAAGCAAGAGCACUAAGACACUUAUUAGGUUACUAUUUUGUAUCUUCAGAAGGCACAGUUCAUCAUAUUUUCAGAUGUUAGGUAUUCAUAAACUGUUUACAUGCCUAAUGAAAUGACAACGGUGAGUGCAUUGGCAACUUAACUAUAUGUAGCGAGCACAUAUCCAUAGUUUAAACAUUUGGUGUUUGGAAGUAUAUAUACUCACCAUAACUAAGUAGUGCAUGCCCAGGAACUAGCCUGCGAGAAAAGAAAAGCGAAGUUACAAACAUCGGACAGCAAUAUCAUGUUGAACAGCAGGGAACAAAAGAAUACAAUAUGCUCAAGGGUGGAAUCAGAGAUGCUGCUACUCCUGACUGUACAGUUCAUAAAGCCAUAUUUGAUAGUCUAAUGCUAUGGUACAAUUAAAACUGUUUUUAGCACGAAUCAUAAGUACAUAAGAUCUCUGCAACUCAAACAACUGACACUAUUUAGCAGAAGAUAACCGCAAGUUGGCAGGAUUUAGAUGAAUGUGCUCAGUGGUCAGAGAAUAUAGAUGCUCUCAGUUAUGUCGACUAAAUGUGCUACAAUAUAUUUGAAAAAUAUAUUUUCAGCAUUACCACUUUGAUCCAGGGAAAUGGCUUCAUACUCAUACUCAUUUCCGGAAGAGUGACACAUUUCCUCUGCAGCAAGGUGAUGUAUAGAGCUAAUGAAAUCUUACCUAUACAGGAAAACAAUAUCCUCAAUAUCUGUGGAGUUGUCAGGCCUCAGCACACUCAUAGUGUAAAAUGUGAUCUUCUUGGACUGAAAUAGGAAGAAAAUGUUAAUAGUCAUCUUCUCACAGUUUCUACCUGGAAGGAUGAAUCAGUUCUAUAAACCUAAAACCUUACUUUAGGUAAGCAACUCUCGCUGAAUAACUCAGUCAAAUGGCUGCACACUAGAACCUGCAAAAGAUUACAAAUCCCAGACAGAGUGACUUCCAAUUCUCUAUUAUGGUCUAGUGCACAUAUGGUGAAGAUAUGUGCAGAAAAAGAAGAUAAGAUAAAAAAAUAUUUGGAUGAUUUCUAAUAGCUCUAAGAUUCAAAUCUUAUGGCAUGAAGAAAGAGCCUCAACCUUUGGUGGUGAAUCAUAUGACGCGAAGUAGUUUAUGGUUCCACCAAGCAGACCAACGCCAUCUGCCACAAAAUUACGAACAGUUAUGACAUACACAUACUGCGACAGCUGAACACCUCUAUUAUCAAAGAAAUUAUUCUUGUUUGAGAGAGGGGAGAGGCUGACCUUCUGUAAGAGUACCUUUACCAAAUUCAUCCAACAGACACAAAGACCGUGAUGUUGCCUGCCUGUAUGGUUUCUCACAUCAAUGGAUAUCAGUGAAAAGGGGAAUUUUCGUUUUAAACUGUGCUUGGUGUUACAAUGCUCCUGAGGUAUGAUAGGUACCUUGAAUCCUAUUAACCCGCCAAGCAGGUUUAAAACCUAAUAAUUACUACAGAGGAGGUAACCGAUGAUUGCAUUAUCACUUUGCAACAUAAUUGUUUAAGUGACAUGUUAUUGAACAUACAAGGUUUUUAUUCUGUUGAAACAAAUGCUAUUACUUAAAUUGUUUCUCAGAGAGAAUGCUUUUCCCAUCGGUCUUUUCUAGUUACUUAAUUAAUAAUGCAUUUUUUAUGCCUACUAAACACGCCAUUUUGAUAAAAUAUAAAAUUACGAAAAUUUUGAUUAUUGCAUAAAUUACUAAAGCAGAGACAACUUCAGGUUUAUGACAUCAAACAAGUGAAACAAUGACGUAAAUCAGAAGAUGCAAAUGCUGAACUAACUGAAGUUUAUUAAAUCAGCACUGCGUAUAUUUUGGAAGGGGUCUAUUUUGAGUUUACCUUAGCAUCAUCCCUACUUGAUGCAGAUCAAUCAUGAAUGUUGAUUGUUCUGCAGUCAUGAACUUGCUUCCCAUUGCACAGAAUAUUCUGUAAGAAGGAAAUAGAAGCUGCGGUUGUUGUCAUCAAUGGCAUAUGAGUAUAACAAGGAAUGUGACAAAGAUGUUGGUAAUAUAUAGGAAACCCAAACCUAUCAGUCAAACCCACAGUUGCAGCAUCUGCUGGAACAAAACUUCCUAUAUGUGCUAGGAAUACAAUCAAAGCUACCUGGGGAGAAUUAAAUUUUCUCAAUACAAGUGGAUACAUUUUUAAACUAUGUAAUUAACAGAAUGCGAAAGAUCAUCAACUAAAUCAGAAAAAUAAGGUGACCUCAGAACAACUUUACAUUUCUACAUGCAAUACAAAAUCAACAUUCAGCACAGUGUCCUACACAUAGUUAAAAUACAAAUGUCUCUGAUUAUGCACAAGAGGUUAACAAAAGAAUGUCUUGGUACAUAAAUGGCCUCUAGCUCAAUUAACCCUAGCCUUUCUGAAGAAUCACAACAUCCUUACUUGGACAUGUUUAACGACCAAACUUCAGAAUCGUACUCUAAAUAGCUAAUCUCAAUUUUUUUAAGUUGUGAACCAUGUUAAUUGCAAGUACUAUUGAAUGUCAGCCUGUCAGGGAUAACAUAGACACAACAAGUAAGAUAGAGUACUAUUCAUUUACUUAAAUCACAACCACCAAAGACUUUAUGAAUGAGAGAUGCUUAACAUCAGAUUCAAUUAUUUUAUAUGUUGGGACCUAUUGUGGACUUGAAGAAUAGAGAAACACAGAGCUAAAAGCAUCACAUAUGACCUGCUUGAUGUAGAUGCUUUUCCCUGAAUAGUUGGGACCAGUGAUGAUAUUGAUUCUUCCUGAAGCAACAGAACAGUUUAAAAUAAAACUCAGCAUGGAAAGAUGUGACUUUUAUCUUCUGGAAAUGAGUCGAGCACAGUUUAACAGGCCAUAGUCAAACAUAUGGUUUGUUACCAUCAUUUUGAAUCUUUGUAUCAUUGGGAACAAAAGUGUCUACCGUCAUGUCCUGCAAAACAUGUCUGGAAAUGAAAAAACUCUCGUUACUAGCCUUGCAAUUCAUCAUCACCACAGGUACUUUAUAAAAAAAAAUGAUGCAAAUUAGCAGAUAUUUCUCACCUUCCAUUUUGUAUAUCAAGCAAGCAGUCCAUGGUCAAAGUAGGCCUUACAUAAUUGUUUUGACGGGCAACCAACGCCAAUGACAAAAAGCUGAAAUGCCCACAUGAUGAAAUAUUUACUUAUAUAUAGAUUAUAGAACAUGGUAAUCAAGAGAAACUUACAAAAUAAAUGCAGACUUAUCAAAAGAAUGGGACGGAUAAAGGAGGAAGCUAGGGUGAGUACUGGUAUAAUAUUGAUUCUCACCAAUCAAGUUCAGCUACAAAAUUUACAGCUUUAAGCAGAUGCGUUGAAAAUAAAAGUAUAUGCGAGACCAGAUCUCGAGUGAUCGCUCUCUCCAUAUCUGUAUAUGAAUUUUAUGAGUUAAACAAUUCAUAAAGAAAAGAAAUAUCAAAUUAAACCAGAACGAAAAGCACUCUGAAUGUCACAUCUAUCAAAAACUAUUUUCGAAUGCAAGAAUAUUCCUGCAGCUAUCACUAGGCUACCACACCACUUCAGUAAUUUCUGAAAUUUCUGGCAUACCUAGUAUUUUAUGAUAGAUAUCUCCCAGAAGAUUAUCCAAGUCUCGUGUCUUUGGAGUACGAUAAAAGAAUCUUUUUGUUUCUCCUUCUGCAUCAGAGAACUAAGUCUGAAAGCUAUAUUUUCUUAUGAAAAUUAGUCACAGAUAAUUUUCAGUUAUUUUAUGCAAGCAAUAACUUACAGCAAACUCAAAAUCUUGAAGCGUCUCCAGGGUAGCUUCAUCAAGUUUUUCUUCAAAGAUGCACAUCAGGUAUCCUACCCACCAAGCAACAUUAAAAUAAAACUAAAAGGGAGAAUUUAUGUGUCUAGAUCAAAAGCAUAACACUACUAAAAAUUUAAUGAUGCACUGAUUAACUAACAAGUGAGAGGCAAGGAAAAUCUAUCAAUGACAAAUUCACUCAUAAAAUUCAUUUAUAAAUGCAAUGAGAUUGAACCUACCUAUCUGGUGUAUGUAAACAAUACAAGGAACGAGCUUGUAUUUGCACAGUUGAGGAUGUCUUCCAAGUUCCAUCUUUGCAACCUGCCAGGAAACUCCUAAAUCAAAACAAACUUUUUUGGUAAUUCAAAUCUUCUUUCGGAUCAGAUUAUGUAACAGUCACCUCUUCCAGGAAUUCAGGCAAUUCCUCAUAUAUUUGCCUCAGCUCAUCUAACUGUAUAAAAAGGAUAGGAAAAUGAUUUGUUAACAGUCAAAUUAAAAUUUUAGACAAAUUCUAGCAGAACAAGAUGUAUCAAGAAGGAUAUAAGUUAACACGAAAACAAAUUAUAUCACCUCGAUAUUCAGUUUAAAGAAAAGCGUCAUCAAACUAAAGAGAAUAUUAUAUAAAAUAUAAAAUUAAACUGAAGAUCAAGAACAAAAACAAUGAUGAUGAAAAUGAUCAGGAAGGAAAAUAUGCAUUCUUAAGAGUUUUUGGGACUUUAGGCCUUACCUCAGUACAGAAAUCAUCUUUUACAAUUGUCUCAUAUCCCUUCUCUUUACUUCUGGUUACAUCAAGAACACCAAUCACCUGCAAAAAAAGGUGUUUAGAUUAUGCUUAUAAUGUAUUAGAGUGAAACAAAUUCUGAUGAUUGACAAAGAGUAAUGAACACUGGUUAAAAUUCAACUUCUGAUUGUAUUUACAAGUCAUUGUCAUAGGGAUGCGUCGGGUCUUACUAAUUUUUGGUUUAGUUAAUAAUGAUCAUAUCUUCUAGGUAGUCCAAAAAUAAGAAGUCAAUAUACCCAGGUAAGAAGGAAAUCAAAAUAAAUGCAGCUGCACCAGGCUUAAAGAGUGCAGAAUUUUGAGCGCAACUGAUAAGGGAAGACCUUAUAGUAGAUUAAACAACUUUUUUUCUGGAGUUUAAGAGUGGGCUCUAGCGUCUCUAUACAUGGUUCCUUUUUAUUAAAAGACUAACGAAAGAUGAACACUUACUAAAGGUCAAAGGCUAUUGCAUAAACUAACCAAUUCAUCUACAUAAGCAAGCUACCGCUUCGAUAUUGCAUGUAAGGUCAUAAAGGUCAAAGGCUACUGCAUAAACUAACCAAUUCAUGUACAUAAGCAAGCUCGGUUGUAAUGCAUGAAGCAGCCUGCAAUAAAUUUUGUCAAAAGAGCAAGAAAGAAGAUUAGAAUAUAAACAAAAAAAAGGUACAACUAAAUAGAAAAUAAAACAGGGGAAAACCAUUUUGUAGCCCAACAGUUAAAGAAAAACAACAAAAGAAUCAACCUUCUCAACAAUGUCCAGAUUCAGGUAUUUUGCAUGCUCUUGAAGACUCUCAGAAACACCUACUUCAAAUAUCUUGUUCACGUGCAAGAGUGAGCAAACACUCUGAAAGAGAACAAGAAAACAGAAAAAAAAAAAAAUUGAGUCAAAAGAUAUAAUAUUUCACUGAGAAUUAACAAAGUCAUAGAAGAAUGCUACCAUCCUUCUUAAUGAAGAUUAUGCUCUCUGCCAGGUUUACUUAGUCUGUUCUUUUAGUAAGAAACACAAACCAAACUCAUAAAAAUGGAAGAAAAAUAUAAUUAGGACGGAUAAAUAUCCAUACGACAACCUCAAGAGAAAUACAUUUUGUAUUCUGUUCAAACCCCCUUCCCCUCCUUUUUACAAAGACACACAGCUAAGAAGUACAUUACACAGGUGAUAUAUCAGAUAUAUUCUGUCUUACACCAUCUUAUUAUCACUUUGUAGAAAGGUUAACAUCUGUUGCAUGUAAUGCACCGCUUCAGGUAAUUUUUAAUGUUAAGUUAGUCAUCUCUGGAAUGUAGGUGUGAUGACUUAACUGGCCAUUUGCUUCUUAGCUUUUUUUGUUAUGCACAAGAUGUCAAUACACAUUACGAUAUAUGAAGAAGAAUGACGAACAUCAUAAAUUUUAACACAUAUGGAUGCUAGUAGGUAGAUCACCCACAUAAUAAGCCUGUGAGAACUGAGAGAGGAGCCUAUGAUGCUAUACAUAAUCUAAGCUUCCAAGUAGUGAAAUAGAUACAAAAUGACAUGAAACUACGACAUGUGCCAUGAUAUAAAAACAGUCAUAACUCAUUAUGUUCUUCAUAAAGAUACUCGCCUAGCUAAGAGAAUUGGACCAGGUUUUGCACAACAAUAGAAUUAAGACAUAGCAGACAAGAGAAUGCCUACCUUCAAAAAAGCUGUCCAAUCAGUACUGGUGCAUACAGAGCUAGGGGAGUUGAAUUUCUACACAAAACAAAACAAAAGCUUCAAAAUGAAGGAAAAAUAAAAAGCACGGGCAGAACAGAUAUUGCCUUGACAAACAGUCAUGUCUAGCGCUGCCAUGACAGCCACAUAACUAAGAGAUCAUAUGCUACACCAUUAUCAGGUCCUUGAACUCAUACAAAAACAGGUACUAUGUCAAGCUUAACAAGUCUAUUGGUCUAAAGGUAGACAGCAAAAAAAUUGAGAAAUAAUGAAAAAUGACCCUUUUUAUAAUAAAUAACCAACAUACUAACAACUAAUAUAAAGAACCAAAUACAAAAUUUUGAUUAAAGAAUAUAAUUUAGUGUGCAUGAAAAAGCUUAGGGCGCUUAACCAAUGACUCCAGCUGCAGCUAAGUAUCUCUAAACCAAACGUUUACUUUUGGAAAAAGAAAUAAACAGAAUGCAGCAGAAGGAUAGUAUAGAAAAGAUGGUACCUUGAGAAUGUGAGGAAUAUCCUUAACAGAUUUCAGAGUUGACCGUAAAGACAUAACUAGUUCUCCUGAAGAAAUAAAGAAUGAUAUCUGAUUGUCAAAGAAAAAUAGCUAUGGCCUUGACUCCUUGAGUAAUAGAGAUCUUAAUGUUAAGAACGUCAACAUCUUAUUAUUAAUGCACUGAUCGCUUUGGAACCAGUUUAACAUGGCAUCAAUCUUCUUUUGACUAACUGAUAAUGUCAUAUUUAAGCAGUCCUGUAGCUUAAAAUGAAAGGAUACGGCAUCCAGACGACUGUUCAAACUUUCAAGGUCAAUUAUUGGCCUUAAGAACCAGUUCCUAGUAUGAGAAAAUAACAUUCAUCAAUAAGCCAGUGAAUCGGUUUGGAAGUGACUUCCAGUGUUAUGGCAUAAAAAAGUAUCAAUCGAAAACUUUACCUCAAGAGGCGCCUCCCCAUAGGAGUUGCACACUAAAAAAAGGAUGACGAGAUUAGCAAACAAAAACAAGGUGGGAACAAGCAUAUACAUAUAUGUGAUACAUAAGAAAAGGCUACUAACCUUAUUCAACAUGCCAAAUACAGAAAACCUGAAAUUAAAUCAUGUCAGGUUAUUUCACCUAAAAAUAUUCAGCAAACAGUUCAAACUUUACCCUUCUUUUGCUCUACCAAUGCCCAUAUGGCUGGGAUGCUUAUCUGUUUGGAAUAUCUGCAACGCCUCAUGAGCUGCAGCAUCCAGUUUUAGAAAAUUGUUUCUAUGUGGUUGUAAAGGAGUACAUUUAUCCAAGUAUCGUACCAGAACCAGUUCACACCCAGACUCACAUCCCUCAUCCCCAAUGAAAAGAAUAGAGCUAACACACAUAGACACAUGAAAGGAAACAAUGAAACUUCUAUAACAGCAUCGAUUGCAAUAGAUGAAUUCCCGCAUUCCAUUUGUUCAAGUGUGUCUACAAUCCUUUCAUUCUCUAAUAUGGCAAGAAGGCCUCCACUGGCACGAACUUGAACAUCACUUCCCAUGUCCAUCAUAGAACUCAACUGCAGUUGAUAAAACAAAUGAUGAAUUUUAUGGUAAAUAACCGGACAAAUAUGUCAACUCGUGCCCAAACAAAAGAGAGAUAGAAAAUCAAUUACUUAUGAGGAUGGAUAAACCAAUUAUAAUAUUCAAGGGAUAGUAUAUCAAUAUAGCACCAAAAGAACAAAUACAUACAUAAGAUAGAUAGCUUUCCUACUUACAUAACAAAUUCUCUCCUUGAUGUCUAACCCAUCAUCCAUUCCUGUUACUCGAAGGUACAUUAAUCUGUAAAUUUCAAAUAAAUUAAUAAAUAAAUAAUGAUGAUGAUGAUAGAAACUAACAAUGGUGCGUAGUUUUCAACAUCUCUCUAGCAUGGACAUGAAAAAAUGAGGAUUAUAAUCUAUGUUUUAUCAAUCAAGUGAAGUAAGUUGCAAGAAACCUAUCUCCAUAGCCAUUUUUUUUGUUUGAUGGUCAGAUCUAUCCACAAAGAAUAAAACUAAUAGUAGUGAUAUUACAUUAUACUAAAGGCCUUCAUGAAAUAUAAUUUCUCUUUAAUCACUAAAUGAAACCAACUUUAUAAUAAAUGUUUAGAAAAAUUAACGCAUGCAUUGCUCAUGCUUCUAUACCUGUGCCAUGCUUGCUCAUAGCUAAAUACUGAACUUUUCACAAGCUUCACAGCAAAAGCCUCUGUUAUUCCAUCUGCAAUACUUUAAAAAGUAAGCAACAGCUGACAUGCUGAAAUCCAAAGUCAACCGUAUAAUAGCAACAUACCACUUCGUUGUAAAGCAGACAAGAAAGCUUCCUCGCUUUUUGUGCUUGUGUAGAUGAUCAGUGGCUUAGCUUGAUAUUUCACUGAAGAAAUGUUACAGCCAUACAGAAACAGAUAAGAUACAUUAAGGUUUGCUUUGCUUAAUAGUCACUGAACUAAUAUAAGUUAUAGACACGAACAGAUUACGUUUGGUUACUAUGUAAUUCACUAAGAAGAACACCAAUCAGAUUUCAGAAUCAGGAAGUAGUACCAAAUCAAUAGGAGUAGAGAAUAUAGGCUUCCUACAGAAACACGAAUCACAUACCCAUAUCAAUUAGUGGGAAGUCCAUGCUACCAUCUUCCCAGAGUUCCAUCACGUGAAGUUGGCGAAUACUGGAAUCAUAAUAAGAAACUCCCACUCUGAAAAUUAAGCGCCGCAAAUCCAUCAAUUUCGGACUCUACUAUUCGAUCAAUAGCAAAAGGCAAGACAUAUACAGCAGAUAACAUAAGCAACAUUGGCUAUAAGUCAUAAAAAAAGAGAGGCAAUUAUACGCGGUUGAUAAAAAAGAUAAGGUAAGGAAAGCUAAGAACUAAGGACUCACCGGUGACCUUGUCGAAUACAUGCCAUGUACACCUUCAUUUAAAUCCAAAAUAAAAAAUAGAAAAUAAGAAACCUCACUAACCAAAUUGAACAGAAAUAAUUACAAAUCAGAUAUAGUAAAACUUCGUCAUACCUAGUUUUACUCAACAAUAAUAGUAGUCUCUACUAUGAAGAAUUAAACGAAAAUUUAAAGAAAUAUGAGAUGAAUGAUCAUCUGAUCUAAUUUUCUUGAUUUUCUCAGCAAAUUUCACUAGUGAGAAUAUCAAAUUGUGUGAGCCUUAUGAUCUAAACUCAAAACCUAACCUAACAUAACAGGAAAGAACGAUCAAUUUUGGUUUGAAUCGAGUAGCGAUUUCCCUAAUUUGGAUAACAUCAAGUAAAACCUGGACUAAAAACGAUUUCCAGGCAGAAAACCAAAACGGAAGGGAGAGAAACUGAUGAACUAACCUGAGGCAGAGCUUCGGUUUCGUCCAUUUCCUCCACCAUUUCGGCGACCGAGUUGCGACUCAGACGAGCAGAGAGAGCGAGUUGGCUCAGUCACAGAGAGUCACGCAGUUCUAGGCGGGAGAAGUCCCGGACUCGCAUUAUAUUGGCUAACCCGUGGUGGUCUUUUUGGGCCGGGCCGUGAAAAGAGACCCAAAUAAAUAAAUAAAUGAAAGCCCAAAAACAGAAAGUUAAAUUUAGAGAGCAGAAAGAAGUGAGAAGAAAGAGCCCUAAACCCCGAGAUCGAAUGGCUUGGUGGAGAGCUCGUGCUGUUUCGUCGGCGAUCUUGAGUAGGCUCCUCAGCCGCUCGGGCGCCACCGACGUCGCCGCCGUUUCCCGCCGCAGUUUCUCCACAGGUAGACAUCUCGGUAUUUUCUUUUUGAACUCGUUUGAUUAAAAUUAGGAUGAGGGAAGAAAAUUAGAGAAAUGAGGAUUUUGGUUCAAGUUUGGUAUUGCUGUUAGUCAAAGAUUGGGUUUAUAGAAGAUGGGGAAGUCUGUUGUGAGUUUGCUGCAUUGCGGCGGAAGCAUGUGUAGACUUGAGUGAGCUUAACUUAGGAUUGAUUAGGUUCGAAUUUUGGGAAUAUAGAUGGGUUCAAUUCAAUUUCUGCUUUGGUUUAAGCUUGAGUUUGAAUUCGAAUUCAAAUUCAAAUAACUUGGAAUCGGUUGCUGCUAGGCAGCUUGUUGAUUGUUGGAUUUGGUUUUGGAUUAUUGCUUAGUAACUCAAUUAGUAUUCUCUGGUAUUUGGCUAUGCUGAACCAAUUAGUAUUCAAUUUAUGAUUUUUUUAUUCUUUUCUGCGCUUGUUUGUAUUGUAAUUAUUGUGCUCAUUCCGUGAGCAAUCAGAACCUCCUCAGCGAUAGCUUUAUCAAACAAAUAAUAAAUAAAAAGUUGCUGGUGGUGUAAGUUCACUUUUAAAAAGAGUUUCUUUGAGGUUGAGCCCAGCCGGGUUCCAGUUCCUGGUUCUGCUCCUAUGUUCAUCUUGACCGCUAGGAGAUUUAGGGAAACUGUUGAACGAUACUCAAUUGUUUCUAUUGCUGCACAAGAUUGAUUCAUUCUGGUUUUUGUUUGUGAAUGUUAAGUAGUUUGUUUUCCUGAGAUUUUGAUGUACAAGUGAAUCUUACUGAUAGAUAUUGUGUACUUUCCUUGAUGUAGGUAAUCAGUUUUUUACUUAUGACAUCAAUUCACAAUACGGAAGUUGCAUGCCGCUUUCUGCUAUGCACAUUCAAGCCAAAAUACACAACAUUGAGUUAAACCCUGGUCAGGGUGGCAAGUUAGUUCGGGCUCCAGGAACUUGUGCAAAGAUUCUGAAAGAACCCACAGAGAAAGGAUGUCUUGUGAGACUGCCUUCAGGUGUUGAAAAGUGGAUUGAUUCCAAGUGUCGGGCCGUUAUUGGUGAGGUCCCAAGUAAAGGAAAAAAGCCUAAGAAGCUUUAUAAAGCUGGGCAAAGCCGGUGGUUAGGCAUCAGACCAACAGUUAGAGGAGUGGCAAUGAAUCCAUGUGAUCAUCCUCAUGGCGGAGGGGAGGGCAAGAGCAAGAGCAGUGGAUCUCAUGGGAAAUGUUCCCGAACACCUUGGGGCAAGCCUUGUAAGGGUGGGUACAAGACUGGACCCAACAAGCGUAAGAAGUAGCGUUCAUCAUUUUCUUUGUUUUGACAUUACUCUUUGAUUGAGCUUUUUGAUGAAUUCAGAUAUUAAAAAUGUCUCUUCUUAGAUGUUUAACUGAUGAUAAAAUUUGAAGGUUUUCAUACGUUUUUUCUUGAAGUUGGUUUGUAGAUUAGUCUGAAUUGGUUUACGUGUUAGGAAUAAAGCAUGUUCAAUGCUGGUAGCUCAUAUGCAGUUCAUAUUCUCUAUCUUAUAUUCAUUUCCUUGUUUGGUCUUGUGCUAAGAAAAGUAUGGUAUUGAAUAUGCAGAAUUGCUAAGAAUGCAAAAUAGCUCUUUUGAUAGAAUUGCUGUAAAAUCAAUGAUAUCUUUUUUUUAUUUUGAAGGAGAUAAACAAUAUCUUUAAAAUAACCAUCUUUCAGCAAUUCUAUCGUAUAUUCAUGAAUGCUUCAGAAAUUCAUAUGCUUUUCAUCUGUAAACCUCUUUGAUCAUAAUAAUAAGAUCUGUGUUAUGGAAUGCAAACAUUACAUUCCAAAGAGGAUCAUCUAAUCCUAACAUUAGGAAUCUGUGUUAUGGAAUGCAAACGUUACAUUCCAAAGAGGAUCAUCUAAUCCUAACAUUAGGAAGGAACAGUACCCGAAUGCAAAUUCUAGGCCUUCUAAAUAGAAUUUGGCUUCUCUGUUUGGAUUUAUGUUGUUUGGAUUUGUUUUCAAAUGUCUCCUCAACAUGGUCUAAUAGAAGUAAGAAGGGUGUGCGCCCAUUAAUGAAAACCACAGUUCCAAAUUCACUACUUUUAUGUGGACAACACAAUCAUUAAUUCAUCUGCUGAGACAAGAGAAAUGAAUGGCAUUGUGCCAAUGCCUUUUGACCUUUUGUGGUGCAACUGGUGCUCGCUUACCAAUUUUUUUUUAGUGUGAACACUUGCCAUAUUGUUACACAUAGACUUGAACGACUUGACGGAUAAAGAAGUCAACCACUGUGCGCAAUUGAUUUUCAGCCUCAUUGAGGUUUAGUUUGGUACAGCUUUAUUUUAAAAAAAAAAUCAGCUUUUAUCCGAACUUUUAGAUUUUAUAGUGUUUGGUAAAUAAAAGAAAAACAGUUUUUUAAAAAAAUUAUAGGUCACUGGCGACAACUUUAGAAGCAACCUGAAGGUUAUUUUUAAAAGCAGCUGUCACUAAAAACAUUAUAAAUUAAUAAAUUUUAUCUUGACAACACUUUUAAAACUAAUAUUUACCAAACACAAAAUUGUUUUAAUUCACAGCUGAUUAUUUUCACAGUACAGUAACAGUAGUUUUUUUUUAAGCACAGUAAUACUAAACUAGCCCUGAGUAUUACCACCAACCCACACUCUUUAGUGAGGUUAAAGUUAAUAUUUAAAACUAAUAUUUACCAAACACAAAAUUGUUUUAAUUCACAGCUGAUUAUUUUCGCAGUACAGUAACAAUAGUUUUUUUUUUAAAGUCACAGCAAUACUAAACUAGCCCUAAGUAUUACCACCAACCCACACUCUUUAGUGAGGUUAAAGUUAAAGUUUUACCACCAACACACUUUAAUAAUUUAACGUUAAAAUUUAAAGGGUUAAACUGAAUUUAAUCCUUUGUAACAUAUGAGAUGUUAAAGUUUAUAUGAGAUGUUGAAGUUUGAGUAGAAACUGCUUCCAUACGUAAAGAUAUUAUAGAAAAGAUUGUUAAAGAUGUUCCAAACUCGCAAUCGAACCUCAGUUCCGCAUUGCUUCUCCUUCAUUUCCUCCAUAAAAAUGGGUUAAUGCCUUAAUGGCCUAUUUUAGUCCAAAUUCUCGUGUUCUUCAUGGAAAGUGGAAAUCAGUUGUGGAGAUAACAAAGCAUUAAAGUUUGCACGAAGACCAUGUAAUAAAUUGUCUAUUCUAAUAAGGUAACGUGCUGUGAAUCCUGUGAAUAAAAUCCUUCAUUUUUGUUUUCGAUAAAGCUCCCAUAUUAAGAUUCUUCAUCAAUGGAAAACCAUCUAAUUUUAGUAAGAAAAUAUAAAUUAGUUAGACCAAUAGGUCAUGACACCUACCCAUAACGUACGCCCUGACCCUGCAACUAUAUCUACACCAACAAAACACUGACCCCGUUGAUAACGGACCAGAUAUCCCGAUCUUUCAUAAUCCAAUAUUAUCUUUCAAUCAAAACAAAGUAUCCGAAAUAUUAUUACCGGAAUAACUUGGGCCCCAUUUGGUAUAGUUGUGUUUUUUAAAAAAAAUCAGUUUUUAUCUGAACUUUGAAAUUUUAUAAUGUUUGGUAAAUCAAAGAAAAAUAUUUUUUUUUAAAAAAAUUACAUGUCACCGACAACAACUUUUAGAAGCAACCUGAAUGUUAAUUUUAAAAACAGUUAUCAUAAAAACACUAUAAAUUAAUAUAUUUUGACUUUACAGCAGUUUUAGAACUAAUAUUUACCACUUGAGUAAUAGUGAGGAUAUGAUACUCUUGGCUCAUACUUGUGUUAGACUAGAAGAGAAUGUUACGUUUUUAGCAGAACUAGUUGUUUGGAUGAACGAUCGCAUAAUAUUAUUGAAAUGACAAAUGAAUGAUUUAAUACACCCGUCAUGGGUGAGACGGCAAAAAAACCUCAGUUAUUGGCUCAUACUUGUGUUAGACCAUAAGAGAAUGUUACGUUUUUAGCAGAACUAGUUGUUUGGAUGAACGAUCGCAUAAUAUUAUUGAAAUGACAAAUGAAUGAUUUAAUACACCCGUCAUGGGUGAGACGGCAAAAAAACCUUAGUUAUAUUAGCGAGUUAGUAACACAUCAAUUUAAUUUAUGAAGUAUUUGGAUCGAGAUCCACGAUGGUAUCCAAGAAAAGCCAAAAUCAACGCACACACCCGAAAUACUCCUCAAACAUAUUGACAACAAGCUGGUGAGAGUUACGAGUUAGAACCUGAACGCUUGCCGUAUUUCGCGCGUUUAUGGUUAGAUUAUGUUAUACGUAUGAAAAAAAAAAAAACUAAAUUUGACAAAAAUAAAAUAAAGAAAUCAAUAAAAGGAAAGCUGUUUGUUGUCCAAAAAAAUAAUAAAGGGAAAGCUGUUUGUCUCUGAGGCUCUCUGUAUCGAGACGAAACUGAAUACCAUGGUGCUUCUCCACUUCUCUCCCCUCUUAAGGAAAAAACCAAACAUGUCUUUUAAAAUCUGAGAGCCCCCUUUUUGGUCUCACUGAAAUAUAGAGAGAGAGCAGGUUGGGUUGGAUUGUAGGAUAUGGAGCCCCCAUCCUUCGUAUCGAAAGCGAGGACAGCCUUCCAUUCCGCCGCGGCUAAAGCGGAGCGAGUCCUCUCUGACUUGAAGCAGCCCGAUCGCCCAGGUCACCCCUCUUUUCAAAUUUAGUCCAAUCCUUUCAAUUUCCGCUUUACUAUUUUCGUCUCUUUACUCCCUCACACACUUCCCAUUUGACUUUUCCUAUUUAUUCUUUUCCCAUUAGAUUUCAGUUUGGUUCUAAAUUUUUGCUGCAUUUUUUGUGUUUUGAUCGGUGUAGAUUCCGAUAAGACGUCGCCGAGGAGUUUUGCCGAGGAUGAGGAGUCCAAGGUAAAGUUUAUGUUUUAUUGUCAAUGUUUAUUUAGCAAUUCUGUUUCGGUUGACUUGAUUAUUUGUUUUUUGUCGUUUUGUUGUUUAGAACUGGAAAUGUAGGAUCAUUUAGGUUGAAUUUAUGUUUGGUUUACCGGAAAUGAACUGUAGUUACGUGUGACAUGAAAUUGGGUUGACUUGAGUUUAAGCUACAUUGUCGAAUCAGGCUUAGUUAAGUACAUGUGGUUUUGUUACUGGGACGUGUUGAUUUGAAGGCUUUGAGGAAUGUGUUGAUUUUAGUUUCUUGGAAAUGAAAUGGUACAGGGUUUACAUGAAUCAAAGGCUUCAAGGUGGAGACCUCCGAACAUAGGGACAAAGCAGGAAUGGCAGGACAGGAAGCAAGAAUGGCAGGAUAGGUUGAGGAAUAUUGGGAAAGGAAAGAAAGGAGUCGAGGAGACAGAGAAGGCUGAGUAUUCGUCCAUGGCGGUUCCUUAUUAUGACGAAAAUUUGUACAUUCUGAACAUGAAAAAUGAUAUGGAAGCAAAGGUAAUUUUGUUUCUUUGCGUCUUUUGUUUCUUCCUCUGCAUUAUGAAUUUUUAGAUAGUACGGAGUAGUGAUUUGUAUGUUAUACAUUUUUAUUUUCACUACAUAAUUACAUCAUAUUCACGGAUCAGAAGGUAGAGCCUGAUCGGCUGGCUCCUGGCUUGUCAUUUUAUUAGGAAAUAUACAUUUUUUCUUUUAUUUCUUUCAACUCAGAAAUAUAACACGAGUGUGGUGUUUGAUAUGGUCCAUAUUAAGAAUUUUGGUGAUCUAAACCAUUUAUAGUUGCAUUUGGAAACGAGAUGAAAGUCACCAGUUGGGAACAAAAAACCGGCCAUGAAGUUUGUGAUGUUUGACUAAUGCAAUCAAGUUAUAAGUCAUUUUGCUUCAAUUAAUACUGUUUCUUUCUUUCAAUGAUAAAUUAAUUUUUCUUAUUUGCAAGGGGGCAGAUCUAAUACCCUCUGUUGAAAGCUUAGAUGCGGACAACAUAGUGAUUCCACCAUUAUCUGUUAUGAGGCAGUUGGCCACAGCUGUUGAGUAAGUCUUUGUAUUCUGGUCAUUGCUUGAAUUGUACACUUUCUCUGAUAAAACCUUUAGGACCUUUGCAGUCCACUUCUGUAGGAAUUUAUCUAAUUGCAACCUCUCAACAUUGCUAUUACCUAUAUGUCUUAAUGCAGAACAAUAGUCUUUAUUCUCAUAGGUCACAGUGAAUGUGUUUUCACUACCUGUAUAAUUGAAAAGAAUCUUGAAAUUUACGGUAAUUGACAUGGGAUUGUCUACAUGAUUUCCCAACUUUCUUUCCCUAAAGAUUUGGCAACCUUUGACCUUUAUCCAGGGCUGGAAAGAAGUCUAAAUCAAUGAAAGAUAUUUUGGGGUCAUCAGUAAAUUCCUCACCAGGCAGAGAGAGGGGAGGUCUGAGUCUCUCUGUAGUGAAGUCAUUGGUGCUUCGUGAAAAGGAUGAAAAGCUAUCUGAUUUUGGUCGUAAUGAGAAAGUCCUAUCGUUGAUUCACUCUCUAUUUGAUGCAGGUAGAUGCAUACGUGAGGUGACCUCACGGCAGUGACUUUCUUUUUGUUGUUAUGUUUAGUUUUAUUCAUUAUCCUGUUAUGAUCUUUCACUUCCGUUGUAAUAUGUGCAAGAUAUUCGCAGAGGGAAAUUUUUUAAGGCGGAAGUUCGAUUCUGGUACAGACGCGAUUGCCACGGCAUCUAUGCCAAAAGAUAUUCAUGGCGCUCCUCCUGAAAGCCUUGUUGUUAAGUUAGCUGAAGUCAUUGGGAGCUUCAGAACCCUUAAGAAAAUGACACUGUUUUGGUGUAGUGUUGUUUCCGAAGUAAGUUAUGGACAAAGUUUGAGGUAUUUAAAGUAAUGAAGUAAAUUACUAUAUGAAAAGGAGAAAUACAAUGCCACACUUAGAGCUGCUUGUUUAACAACCACAACCCUUUAUUUAAUUUUUGGAACUGAACUCUUUGAAUACAUUUUUGUGUCUCGCUUAUAGUAUUUUAGUGAUAAUGAGUUCAAAUUUAUAAUACAAACUUCUGUUUUGUUUUUAUUGAGUUUUACUUUCAGUGUUGAACUGUUAUAUGGACGAUUUGUGACGUUUUACUGUAUUCUAGAGAGAAAAGGAAAGGAAAAAGAGAGAUAUAAGGUGGCAGUUCCACUUGCUUGUCUAACAGCCGAUACACCUAUAUUUUGAAUGUCAACUUUUCUUGUGAACAAGAGUUAUGUGUAGCUUUCAGCAUUUGUAAAUCCCGAGUUGAAACAUAUUUACCUGGGCUAAUGAAUAGAUUAUACUAUUAAAGAUAUAAUGUCAGGUGCAAAAGGAAUGUGCAAAAUUUAUGUUCAGCUUUAGUAUAUUUAAGGGCAAGAUUCUCCUACCUUGGAGAAUUUGAGUCAGACAAUUCUGAUCCUGUUAAAUUUAAAGAAAGGUUCUUCAAUGUUUAGUAAUUUCCUCAACUGGAAUUGAAUAUAUAAUUUCCUUGUUCAUCAAAUAAUAUUUUGUUGACAAAGUAUGCUUUGAAUUUCCUUCAUAUGCAGCUUAGAAGACUUUGGUCUGAAGAAACAUAUGUACCUAGCAUCCCUGUGGAUGAGAUUCCAGAUCUGAAUUCCUGCCUUUUGUACCAGCAGUUGCAAGUCAUCAAUUGUUGUGUUUCCAGGAAAAGGCGACGUGAGAUUGCCACCGAAACACUAGACUUUGUAAUUAGAGAAGCCAGUCCAAACGCUGAAGAAUCAUCUGUUCCUACAGACAAUGCUGCGGGCCCUAUUUUGUAUGCUCGAAUAAGCACUGGGGAACUAGUUCUCCGACUAGGUGCUAAUCGCCCAUAUAGUAACCUAAAAAUGUUGGAAACUGGUGAACCUAUGUAUACCCCUGUCACUCAGGUAUAUAUAACUGUUUCUUGCUCAAAAGAUAGCUAUUUUAACUUGCUCCCGUAAUAAGGUCUUUGUGCAAUGUCACAUGUAGGAAGCCCCUUUACUUACUGAAGACCUAAUCAAGGAAACAGAGGAGUUUGUGCUUCGCACAGGAAGGUUUGUGUCUGAAUUGUGGCUAUUUUUUUCUUCUUUUCAGUUUCAGCUCAUUUGACAUAGGCAAGUCUAUUUUCCCAAGUACUUUGACAUAAAGAUAGACAGAGAUAGAAAAUAUGCAUUUUUGGUAUUCUAAACCAUUUAGACACUGUUUGAUAGAUGGCCUUGUCUUUUCUGGUCAGUGUUGGUGCUGGAUGUUCUCAACUCCUCUCUGACAUGCAGGCUUUCAAGGUUUCCCCAUUGAAUAAAUUUACAGAUUCACUGAAUGUUUUAUUAGUUAAGUCAACUCAGUUUUGCUUAUUAUUGUAUGUAGGCAGCAAAUCCUGGUUGUGUCUUGGAAGAUUUUGUGAGAUGGCAUUCUCCUCCUGAUUGGACUGAGGCUGAGCCAGGUACCGAGGCUAUAUCUCUGGAAGGUAAUGAUGUAUCAUCCACAAGAGGCCAAUUAAGUAGCCGAAUGCAAAAAGCAGGUGCCACCCUUUCUGUAUUUCGUUUCUAUAUACUGUCUUGCAUCAGAGACAUGCAUAUCCAUUGUUAACAGUUGUAGGACGAUGGUAUGUGUGUCUAGCAGUUGCAAAUGCCACCACAUGUAAAUCUCAUUAACAUUUCUUUUGGUUAUUCUUCAAUGCUAGGAAAUCUCUGGCGUGAGCUAUGGGAUACAUCCAAACCAGUUCCUGCUGUAAAACAAGUACCCCUCUUUGAUGAGGACUUAGCUGUGUAAGUUGGAAGUAUUGCUAGUUUUUUUGUACCUGUUUUUGCUGCUGCCUGACAAUAAUAUUAUCAUGCAUUUCCUGUAGAGAAGGUAUUCUGGAUGGUUUUGAGGACAUAUCACCUUCUGAGCUUUUUGAGCAGCUGUUUAUUUCCUUGGUAAGUUCAUUUCAUAUGAUAUCAUUUGUGCUCUCUCUAUAUGGUUAAGUACACUCCACUCCUCCUAUAUGAUGCUAAUGAUGCCCCUUGGCAUGCAAUCUUCAGCUUGGUUUGGGGUUUCUAAUUGCUGAGACUAAAUUGUCCGAUAACAGCGAUUUUUCAAAGCUGUUCUAUGAAUGCAAGGACUUUGUAGUAUCCACUUGUCAAGGGAAAAUGUGGACAGAGAAGGUUGACGAGCUUUGUCAGGUAUGAAUCCAUACGACUAAACCUCAUUUGGGUUUGAAUGAAGUUUACUUUCAUUAAUUUCAUUCCUGAUUAGAGUAUUUUGUCCAUUCUGUCAAAGUCCAUCUUUUAUGGUGGAAAUUCAAAUCCACAACAAAGAAUGAUAUCCAGACUGUUCACUAUUGAGAACGAGAUCUUCUGAAAUUGUUUAGUCAAAUUUGUGGUACAGGUAUUUGAAACAGUUGAGGCUAUGAUACUCAAUCCAGAGGAAGUCCUAAGAAUGAUGAAGCAGCCGGAAGAAGCCAUGACCCCUUCUUCUAAUGAACCGAAAAGGCGGUUCAGGCGGCUGACCCUCAACUUUGGAGGUAAAGAUAGACAGUUGAAAAAAUCAGCUUCUAAGGACCAAAAGAACUCACAAAGCCCCGGUAGCCAACCAUUUUCAAGUUUCUUUGACAACAAGUCGUCAUUAUUUUCAAAAAAGCCUCCUAAGCCUGAAAAUGCAUCCCCUGUUGAAAAAUCGUCACUUACAGAAGACAGUGAUUGGACAGUUGUUUAGAUAUAACACUUUUUAUUUUAUUUUUUCAUUAUUUUUAUUCGGUUACUUUGGUGGUAAAUGUAAAUUGUUUUACAAAACGAGCUAAUGGGGGUUUCCAUUAGCCACAUCCAAAAUUAAUUUCUUGUUUGAUUACAGAGGAAUGAAGAAUGAAAAAGAUUUUUUACUGGUACAUUAUCGAAGAUUUCUUUUUUUUUUUUCUAAAUUUGGAAACGAGUAUAUUAAGGGUGCUGAAAUUUGCACACCCAUUUUUACAUUCCACACACCCUUUCAAUUUUUUAUUACUCUCUAUUAACUCAUCUUUCAAAACUACCCUUUCGGAGUUACAAUUCCCAUUAGCCGACUUCAUUUUAUUCUUCUUCCCAAUAUCGCCGUCGAAGGAUCCUUCGCCGCCGUUAGUGGAGGAGUGCAAGAAUCUUGGUGGCGGGCCCGGCGUUCUUUUCGACCUUACAGUAAGCUUAAGCAAUUUCUUCAAUGGAAAACGAAGAGCGAAUUUCGACGUUGCUCAAAACCCUGUUCGUUGUCGAAUUUCAUCACCCUCAAUCAUGUUCAAGUCUUCAAGAUUAUUAGCCACUUUCUUCCCACCCCAAUACUACCAUAUUAAUCUCUCUCGUUGAAAAUGGGUUACCAACUUCUCACCUCUCCCACCAUCUUAGUCUGCUUGUUCAUUGAAAGCUUUAUAUAUAUAAUCCACCAUUGAUCGAUCAUCCUUUCCUUGAUUACUAUUCCCAUCAUUCUCACUACAUUUAAAUCCGACGAGGAGAAUAAGUUGAAGCGAAGAAACUGAAAAGGCAGCCCCACUGCGGCCUCCGCCUUGAUGACUCUGACAAGCUCCGUCGCGAGCUCGAACUUCCCUCGCGGCUUUAAAAUUUCCCAAUCACCGGGACCGAAAUUUAUGCCCUCGAUCACCGCAUGCGAAAUAGAUUGAGAUGGUUGAGGCGGUAAGGGCUGGGUAUAGUUAUCCUUGCUGUGGGGGACUGAGAUUUGGAUCAGUCUGAUAAGAACAUUGGGGAGAGAAAGAUUGGGAGUGAGAGACCGAGAGAGGAUUAGUUAAAUCAGCUAAGGAUGAUUCGGUAAAUACACCACAGGGGGUGUGUAGAUAACAAAAAAUGGUGUGUAAAUUUCUGAACCCUAUAUUAAUGACCUCAAAGAAAGCACAACAGCAUCAGUACUAUUUCACAACAUCGACGAAGUCUUGAUCAGAAUACACGGUAAACUGAAGCUCAAAAUUGUGGUUGCUAAAAUUAGCUCAUCCAGACAAGAAUUACAUUCGUGUAUUGCUAUCCUCCAUCUUAACUAACGAAAAAGAAAAUUCUCAGCUACAGGUAUUCAUGAGGUUGUGCUUGCUUUCCUCGUCUUUUUAUUUAAGGUCCUCAUCUUCAUCGUCCUCACUCAACUUAUUGAACCCAUAAUAUUCAGAAAUGAGACUCGGCACAAUGAAAUUCGAAAACACGUAGGCGAAAAGAAGAACCCCUCUGUAAAGAAUCAAUGUGGUAGGUUAUGUGUAGCCCUUUAUGAUAUGUGUUACAAUAAUAAAUGAGAGUGAUGGAGGUGAAAGAACUUACCCAACUUGAAGGAGGACCGAGAUGUCGCCGGACUUGGCAGGGGGAGUGACACCAAGAACAACGGCAGUGUAAUUGUGCAUGGCCCUGCAACUGGUUCCUAGUGAGAGAUUGAAUUGUUGGCUGUGUGAAGCAAGCUUGAUAGGUUCAUAGGUGGAGAGCCAAGGCAGUUUAGUAGUGCCCAGAAGGUGUUUGUGUUGUAGCCUAACAUGCAAGGGAAGCAAUGCAGAGUUGGAGUGAAUGGACCUCAUGGUGUUUGCAGAGUUGUUAUGGAGAGACUAUAGAGAGUUUGGAUAAUGCUUUUGGUAGGAUUGGUGCUGGCUAAGAAGAUUGAUUAUUUUCUCACCUGCUCUUGAGGAGAGUGGCUCCACGCACUAGAUGUGUGGAAUGUGGGCUCUCUAUUGUACAGGGCAAAGCCCAAGACGAUUUCACGAGGAUAUUUGAUGAAAUUCCGAGAUACAGAUUCACCUCGUUUUACAGUUCACUUGCUAUCAUCUACCAAUUACAUAGGGGAGUUUGACCUCUUUUCUCCUUUUAUGAAACGAGUCAUGGGAAGCCACCUCCAUCUGGGAAUGGACAAUUUUUACUUCUUUGUUGCAUUUGGUCAUUGUCCUUUGAUUUUAAUAUCGGUUUCACAGAAGAGCAUACAAAUUAGAAAGAACAAAGUUGUUUAACUAUCUAAUUUUCAUAUAUUCAUUGCUUUAGUUUUAUCUGUGAACUAAACAAAAAACAUAUGACUAAACAAUUCAAACCAUUUGAACCAAACAAUGUAAACCAUUAACCACCAAAAAAAACCAUUGGAAAGUUACUAUAGAUAUCGAUUAUAUGUGUCUGCAGCCCUUAGUGGCCGGGUGUUCCGGCCGGAAGGGUUUCGGUAGAGUUGGGGGAUGCCGGGUACCAGCCAUUCAAUUCACUUUGUAUUGAUUGGAUAUGCAGCUAGUGUUUCGAUCAUGUGGGUCAAUUCUUGUGACAAAUUUACGUUACCAACCAACGAGUCUAUCCAAUUUCCACAUCUAUACUAAUCUAAUCCAGCAACGAGUUCAACUUCUCAUCACAUUUGUCAACGACAUUACUACAUCUGUAGUAUCAAUAAAUACUUUGGUCCUGGAUUUGUCGGAAGACUAAUUAAUAUGGCGGUGUAAAAUGAUCAAUAACCAUAACCAUCAUUGAUAAAAUGAAAUAUUAUUGCAUCAUGAAUCAAUAAAACAAUGCUAAGUGAAGCACGUUUUGGGGUUUGGUUCGAACCAACCCAACUUGCAGCAUACUCUAUAUCAGGCUCCCUCUAACCUAGCCACUCUCUCUAAUUAUUUCUAGUGAUCAAAGGACCGUUGAAAAUCUGCAGUAUCAAACUAUAUAGUUAAUUGGCUUCUAAUUUUGAUCAAAAUGGAGGAUUCAAAAACUUGAACUUCGAGAACCGGUUCAAGUUACCUUAGCUAAUUAACUUGUUGGAGACGAUGGACGGAAAAUUUCGUCUAGUUGGAGAUAUAAUGUUUGUACACACACACAAUAUUGUCUCUAUAGUCUAUAAUAUCCCGCAGCUUCUUUAUUAGACUGGGGCAUCAUUCUAAGCCUAUUUUUUCUUUUUUUUUUUCUUGAGGGAGGCAUCACUCUAAAUUUUUAAUUAUUUUCUCUCGUAAGCCCGCCGUGCGACGUUGAUGACAUUUUAAUUAUUUUCUCUAGUACUUAAAAGCAUGUCUAAUAUUUGUCCCUUAAUUCAUGACACUGUAUAUAUCUACUACAACAUGUAGACUUCUUAGUUACAUUGUUUAUAGAACGGCCGGUAUAAUAGAUCGAGAUACUGAAGAUUGGGAUCGAUCUGUACGUAUAGCUAGCUAGCUUCAAGUAAUAAUGCUGGCCUGACAUGCAUUAUACAUCUAGCUAGCUAGGUAGCGCUAUGCAAAUAAUUUGGCAACCACGCACAAACGAUCGGUGCUAAGCGGGAAACAUGUGGUCAUCCCAAAGAAACCCGAGAGAGAGAGAGAGAGAGAGAGAGAGAGAGAGAGAGAGAGGAGGACGACGNNNNNNNNNNNNNNNNNNNNGAGAGAGAGAGAGGGCAGCUGAAUCUCAUGCAUGCAAACUGCAAAGAGAGAAAGAAAAAGUCCACUAGUAGUGUCGAAGCUGGAUGGAAGACGAGCAACGUGAAAAUCCAGUAGAACAAGUCAGGAGUGGGGCCUUGAUGCAAAUUGGAUCUUACAGUUGAAUGAUCUGAGAGCAGAUAGAGGUUUCCCUUUUUUUUCAAAGGAACAGUUGGGAUUGCAUUAACUGUAUUUCCCCAACACGUUAAUUUAUAGAUGAGAAGAUGAUCGAAUUUAAGAUCGACCAACCGUACUCUUAGUUUCCACCUCUAUAUAAUCCCACUCUCUCAUUCUCCCGCUUCACAACUCAAACCAAGUCUUCUAUCGUCUUAAGUAGUAUUGUAUCACUUUGGCUACUUAAGAAUGGGUACUGCUACUGCUACUUCGAGUUCUAAGUUGCUGCUUCUUGUGCUUUUUGGUGCUUUCAUUUUCACAACUGGUGCAAGCAGGAAGCUUGGAAGUGCUGAAAAGGGUUCCUUUGGUGAUGAGAAAACUAUCUAUCGCCACCCACGUCUUGGUGGAGGCGGUGGUGGACUUGGAGGGGGAGGAGGGCUAGGCGGUGGUGGCGGAGCCGGUGCUGGAGGAGGAGCUGGAUUCGGAGGUGGUGCUGGAGCGGGAGCUGGUGGCGGUCUUGGCGGAGGUGGUGGACUCGGUGGAGGCGGUGGGGGAGGCUUUGGAGGUGGUGGUGGAGGAGGAGUAGGUGGUGGAUCUGGUUUUGGAGGAGGAGCUGGUGGAGGGUUUGGAGCGGGAGGUGGUGCUGGUGGUGGAGCUGGGGGAGGAGGUGGUGGAGGCUUUGGAGGCGGUGGUGGUGGAGGACUUGGGGGUGGAGCAGGCGGAGGCUUCGGUGGAGGAGCUGGUGCCGGUGGUGGGUUUGGAGGUGGAUUGCCUUGAAGACGUGCAUGAAUGCUAAAGCGGCAUGCAUGCAUAUCUAAUCAAUUAAUAAUUUUCCAAUGUGAUCUAGUUUCUAUCAAAUUCCAAUACUGUAUUGUUGUAUCGAUCGAGUAUCUGUUGUGUCAACGUACUGUAAGUCUUGUUAUCGUUGCUUUUGGCAACGAAUUAUUGUUUUCAUGUCUAUUAAUUUGUCCGGUAUGAUCUAUUAAUGAUUGAUUGUAGACAACAAAUUGUUGAUCUUCAUAUUAAUAUAUGUCAUCUGCUAGCUCUUCAGUGAUAGAUGCAAGCAAGAGGGGUAUAGCUAGCUAGAAAAAUGGAGUUAAUGUAGAAAUUCAAGUAACUAGCAUGUGUAUCAAUCUUACUCAGAUUUACAAUGAAGAAAAUUAGAACUAAUGAGCGUAACGUUGCUAUAUAAAUUUGAAAACUAUUAUCUUUUUAAUAAUUAAUGAACGAAAAAAUGAAUCUAUGUUCAGAGGUGGUGGUGCCGUGGUUGCCAAAUUAUUGGCUCUGCACCACUAAGAUAGAAGAUCUGCAACCCAAAUCAUCUGAUGCGAGCAAGUCGCCUAUAAUCCCAAGCUCUGAGUACUCACUCCAAUCAUCAAGCCCUGAAGUCUGAGGAGUACUAUCCUUAACCUUUUUCCUCCUCCCGACCACGAAAAGGUCAUACUUGUGCACAAUCUCCCUCAACAUGUCCAAGGUUUGUUCCCCACUUUCAGAAACCGCUUCCCUGUAAAUCACGUAACGGCCGUUGCCGGUGUUGUUUAGCCUGAACUUCCUCAAACUCUCAAAGUCCAGAACACUGUCCCAGUCAAGCCCUGGCCCAAUUUCAGGCUCUGUGGGGGGCUUGAUAUGAAACACGGUUAGGAUGAUGCUCGGGUCGCCGGUCAUCCUUCCCGUCAAAGCCAAUGUUUCUCUAUCAUCUUCACCACCUAAGAAAAUCAACGCAACAUUGAACUGUGCUUGCCAAUCUUCUCGUUUGUGGUUUUGCCGGAGCGGGCCUCGGUUGACUAGAACUCCCACCGAACAAGGCGAUUCGUCUAGAACACUAAUGUUUAUGUUUCUGACGGUUUCGUCCUCCGAUUUAACAGCGCCGUCCACCGUCCAAAGGCGGUGGAAGGGGAGUAUGAUGAGAUGUGUGAGCCUGUCUAGGGCAAGGGUACAUAUCUGUUCGUACAUCCAUUUUGACGGCCAGACCGCCGUGAAGGGGUGGACCUCAACGGCGGCACCGUACUCCCCCUCGAAUUUGAGCAAAGAAACGAGGACGUCCUCGGAGUCGAAGCUGCUGGACAUUGUCGUCUUCUUUUGCAUGCGGUGGGAAAUGAGCAUGGGGGCGUCUUGGCCGGUCAUCUCUAUCAGGUGGAGGACGUUGAGAUCAAUAGGGUUUUCUCCGGUAGGGCAAGCCACAUCCAAUAAGUUGAUGACAGCUGGCACGUUGUCUUGUUUGUGGAUGCAUGAAAGAAUCUUGAGCUCCGAGUUAGGUCUAAUGCCUAGUACAUUUCUCUGCUCAUACCCUGCGUACCUAGUCGAUUUCUUGUACAGGUGCUUCACGGCAUAUGCCACGAUGAGGUGGGCAAAGAGGAUCAUCAACAUCGCCAAGGCAUAAACCCCGUCGGUGAUAUUCUGCAUCCAUCGCCAUAUGAUCGAUUUCAUAACUUGGUUCGGAAAUAACAAUAUGCAAGUUUAUUAUUUGAGAGAUGCAUGCAUACCUGGCCAUCAUAGAUCAUGAAAUAACCACCGAUUUCGACGGCACCUUUGCAACUCAUUAUGAAAGCGAGGGCGAAAGCAUCCUUGAUGGGAAUUCUACAGCAGAUUGCUGGUGCCAAAGAACCCAAGAAUUUGGCCAACAUAGUUAUUACCAACAAAACCAGUAAAUUAGCAUCGAAGCGAAGUUCUCUAAGAUCUGACAUAAGCACACAAUUGGUGACAAAGAGUGGCAUGAACACGCGGGAGACCAUGAAGUCGUAUUUCUGAACCAGGGUCGACCCGAGAGGAGGUCCACUUGGUACAACUAAGCCGAGAAAGAAAGGUCCGUAUAUAACAAGCUGUUUGGGAGCUCCGGAAACCAAGGCCAGCAAGACGACGCCAAAGAUGUAGCCAUUGUUUACAGGCUUGCCUUUAGGUGUCUGUCUGAUGAGCCAAUUCAUAGCCGGUCGGACCACGAGCACACAAGCAAGACAAUAUCCUAAGUUAAUAAGAGGGAAACUUAAAUUGUCUUGCUUGUAGGGAAACUUUUCCACACCUUUCUUGCUGGUUGGUAACGCUCUCGCAAUUGUUAUGAGAGUCAAGGUUAGCAUGUCGCAGACUAGAGCUGCUGACAAUCCUAAUCGUCCGAGUUCGGAAGUAAGGAUGAGGAGUUGGCCAAGGAGGGAAACUAUCACAGAAAAUGAUGUCCGAGAUAUUGAUAAUAUCAGGAAUUUGAUUCCAUAUGGCACUCCGUUUUCCUCUUUCAAAUUGUUUUUUCCCUUCUGAUAGUCCAACAAAUUCACUGUGGAAAAGCCAACAAUUAGGGGCACCAUCAAGGAGAAAAUGCCAGUGUAAAAUGCUUUUCUCCCAGUCUUCAAUAAUAGACUUGCAUCCAUCUUCACUGCUGCCAGAAACAAGAACAUCGAGUAGCCAAACAUUGUGAGAGUGCCAAGUACGUCCUGACUUGCCAAGGACAUUAUCCAGUCAUUGUACCAGUUUUCGAAAAAUUGAAUUCUGCCGAUCACCGCUGGACCAAGCAAGAAUCCUGCCUGCACCAGACAUGUUAUUCAUGAUUUUAGAAAAAUAUAUAGAAAUGCAGGUAAGAUGAUUAAGAACAUGUAUGUACUGUGUACUAUAUCGUCGUCAUGUGUUAAUACACUGUAAAAUCUCCCUAUGGUUUUUCAACAAAAGAAAUACAUACUAGCAUUUGAGAGACAAAUAAUGGGAGGCCAAAUGAACCAAGAAUGAGUUGGAAGAGCUGGGUGACUAAGAAGGUCAUGACCAUUUUCAUUUCGAGCAUUGGUAAUGUAGCACCCGUGGUAUCAAACUCAUUAGCAAUAGUUGUUUCUCUAGGCUUUCCCGGCCAAAUACCACUUGAAUGAAUGUUGGGUGGUAACUCCACACAUGUCCUGUUCUUCUUGAACUGGGCCCUUGACGGUGUAAAACUCAUUGUUGCUUCUUCUUGGUUGAUUCUUUCAAUGGAGGUUGAUAUGAUGAGAGAGAGAGAGAGAGAGAGAGAGAGAGAGAGAGAGAGAGAGAGAGAGAGAGAGAGAGAGAGAGAGAGAGAGUAGUAGUAGUAGUAAGUAGUNNNNNNNNNNNNNNNNNNNNNNNNNNNNNNNNNNNNNNNNNNNNNNNNNNNNNNNNNNNNNNNNNNNNNNNNNNNNNNNNNNNNNNNNNNNNNNNNNNNNNNNNNNNNNNNNNNNNNNNNNNNNNNNNNNNNNNNNNNNNNNNNNNNNNNNNNNNNNNNNNNNNNNNNNNNNNNNNNNNNNNNNNNNNNNNNNNNNNNNNNNNNNNNNNNNNNNNNNNNNNNNNNNNNNNNNNNNNNNNNNNNNNNNNNNNNNNNNNNNNNNNNNNNNNNNNNNNNNNNNNNNNNNNNNNNNNNNNNNNNNNNNNNNNNNNNNNNNNNNNNNNNNNNNNNNNNNNNNNNNNNNNNNNNNNNNNNNNNNNNNNNNNNNNNNNNNNNNNNNNNNNNNNNNNNNNNNNNNNNNNNNNNNNNNNNNNNNNNNNNNNNNNNNNNNNNNNNNNNNNNNNNNNNNNNNNNNNNNNNNNNNNNNNNNNNNNNNNNNNNNNNNNNNNNNNNNNNNNNNNNNNNNNNNNNNNNNNNNNNNNNNNNNNNNNNNNNNNNNNNNNNNNNNNNNNNNNNNNNNNNNNNNNNNNGAGAGAGAGAGAGAAUCAAACUGUGUAUUGGGUAAAAAUUAGCCAAUCUAUUUAAAGGUCCUGAAGUAGCGAAUGAGAUUCUUCAGUUGCCGCGUUAGCUAAGUUUCAUUUUCGCACAAUUCACCAAGUUUAAUAGUUUUUUUUUUCCUUGGAGAAGUUACUAACUUAUUAGUUGAGACGAAAAAAAAACUAAUUAAAUGAGACGUGAUAUGGUAUAUGUAACAUGCACGAACAAUUAUUACGGAUUAUAUGUACAACCAUGUUGUCUUUCUCUUCAACUAAUUACUGAGAAACAAAACUUUCUUCUAGAAUAAAUUUUUUACAGUUAGACUAGUUAAUCAACAAAGUUGUCUAAUUAACGUAUCAUUUCCCAUUAUCACAUGCAUGAAUUUAAUGGUGGUAAAAAUUAGGGAAAAAAACCAUUUGCACAAAAUAGAAAAAGUCAAACCUCAUUUCAAUGAUAAUCUUUUUUAUUAGCCCAUUUGAAUACAAUGUACUUAUUUUAAGCCUAAAUACACAAAUCUUUAUUAAAAUAUAAUAAAAUUAUAUUUUUAAAGACUUUUUUAUCCUUAGCUUUUACUUAAAGAGAAAAAGUGAAAAAUAUGGAGGGAAGACUUUGCCGGAAGCACACCGGGCUCAGGCGCCAGUCACCGGCGGCGGCAUUCCGGUCGCCGGACUCCGAACUCCGGCCGCCGGAAUCCGGUCACCGGUGACCGGAAUUUUCUGACGGCCGGAAAAUUGCCGGCAUCCGAUGGCCGGAAUUUUCCAAAAAUCUCACUGGAUUCUUUUAAAUGCCAUCGGAAUUUACGUGAUCUUAACCCAAGUACAAAAAAAAGUUUACUACCCCUAGUAAACUUUUACUGGGGGUAGUAAACUCAAAAUAAAGUUUCUCCAUGACCAGUAUACACCUUAAAACAGUGAAAAAUCAACUUAGAUGCAGAAAAAUAAAGUUUACUACCCCUAGUAAACCUCUGCUGGGGGUAGUAAACUUGCAAUACAGUUUUCCUAUGACCAUUAUAUACCUUAAAGGAGAGAAAAAAAUCAACAUAUAUGCNNNNNNNNNNNNNNNNNNNNNNNNNNNNNNNNNNNNNNNNNNNNNNNNNNNNNNNNNNNNNNNNNNNNNNNNNNNNNUUAGAUUCAAAAAACUAAAGUUUACUACCCCCAGUAAACUUUUAUUGGGGGUAGUAAACUUGCAAAACAAUAUUUUCAAGGCUAUAAUACAGACUAAAACAGAGGAAGAACAACUUAGAUGCAAAAAAAUAAAGUUUACUACCCCAUUAGACUUUUACUGGGGGUAGUAAACUUGCAAUCUAUUAUCUCCAGAGAAAAAUCAACACACAAGCAAAUAAUAGAAAAUUACUACCCUUAGUAAUUUUUAUAUUUUGGGUGUAGAGAGAGAGAGAGUAGUUUAACAACAAAAAAAUCACUGCUACAUUCGUCGCCGGCGCUUGGGAGGAGGCUACCCGACCCGGCCUUAGCCCGAAGACCCGACCCAAUGCAGACCUCCUCCUCCUCCUCCCCACUCCAAACCCUCCUCGACCUCAUCAACGAGACCCUCUCCCUCCUCCUCGGCACCUCUCUCACCGUCUGAUCCUUCCCCGUGCUGGCACCCCCUCCGCUCCAACCUCUUCUCCCUCCACUCCUCCAUCUCCUCCGUCUCCGACUCCCCCCACUGGGCCGAGAAUCCUCUCCUCUACACUCUCCUCCCCAACCUCCUCUCCACUCUCCAGCGCCUUAAGGCUCUCUCCGACCAAUGCAACGACUCGUCAUUUUCCGGCGGGAAGCUCCACAUGCAGAGCGACCUAGACAUGGCCGCCGCCUCCCUCUCUAACCUCCUCUGCGACCUCGACCUCCUCCUCAGAUCCGGCGUCCUCCACCAGUCCAACGCCAUCGUUCUCUCCCACCCGGGUCCCGGCUCCGACAAAGAGAAUCUCACCUUCUUCAUCCACGACCUCUUCACCCGCCUCCAAAUCGGCGGCGUCAAGUUCAAGAACAAGGCUCUCGAGUCCCUCCUUCAGCUUAUCCAAGACAACGACAAGGCCGCCGGACUCGUCGCCAAAGAAGCCAACGUGGCCUAUCUAAUUCACCUCCUCGAUUUCCACACCCAGCCCUGGGUCCGCGAACAGGCCACCUCCACCGUCUCGUCUAUCCCCAACCGUAGCUUCCUAGCAGGAAUACUGUGCAGUCCUCGCCGACGAGCUCCAUCACGCCAAGAUCUCGACGGUCAAGAUGUGCUAGGGUGAUCGAUCCUUACAGAUCAGGCUCCGAAAUGUCACCAUGAUCAUGCCAAACCUUCACAGGUGGAAGCUCUCCAGGUGCCGCCUCUAGUUCGCUUGAGACCUCUUGAUCGCCGCCAUUAGCGAGUUGAACACCGGCAGCUCCAACUCCUCCACGAACGAGCUGCUUCCGACGUCCAUGUCCGAUCGCCACCGAGGUUGACGAAUGCCGCAUGUGGGGUGAGUCCCGUCCUCAGAUCCGAUCUGGAUUCCGAGAGAGAGAGAGAGAGAGAGAGAGAGAGAUGAGAUAAUUAUUAAUAGAGUUAAGGAUAUUUUAGUCUUUUUCUUAAGAUUUGUGUAAUUGGCAUAGCAAACAGAUUUUCAUUGGAAUUGACAAUUAGUCCUUAUAAUUAGUAUUAAAUGGGCAUUUACUCUAAAAAUUAUGUUACAAUUGUAUAGCUCUUAAGUACCCCUCAUUACAGGUUUAUCUAAGAAGAUUUGGGAGUUAGUAGCGGCCAUCGCUUUCGCCCUUGUUGGGGAAUUUUCUUUGAGGGAAAAUGAUUGAAACCCCUUUUGUACCAAAUUUUUAUCCCAAAUGAUGUGGCACUAGCCUUUAGCAAAAUCAUGUGUUUUCUGUUAACUUUCCGGUGAUUGCUCCGCUUAAUCGCUCAUCGUGGUCAAGUAUCGACUAGUGGCUAGCAAGGAGAUUGAUCACGACCAAAAUCAUAGUUCUUCAUAGGCAAGGAAGAAAAUGACGGAGCUGGCGCGCUCUCUCUGUCUACAGUUGCUUGAUAAGAAGCUAGCUAGCGCAUCUUCAUCACCAUCACUGGCUACUCGCACCAGAAGGUGUUGGCACACCCCCAUAUACAUCAAAAGAGGUUGUUGACCGAUCCCUACGAUAUAAAGCUAGCUAAAUACCAGCCAAGCACGAAAUUGUGGUAGGAAACAAGGAUAUUUUAAGCGUAUAGUGUCAACGUCAACAUGAGUGAAUAUCAAUAUGGUAAGUUUGUAUAAAUAAGAAGACUUUUCCCUGCUUCACAAUGAAUUAGUUAGUAAUUUAUGUAAAAUGAACAAAGAAAAUGUCAAUAGAGUAGAGCUCUCUUUCUUUGUUUUCACUAUUAAUUCAUGUUUCUUCUAAUACUUCUAAGAAGACUUAUAGAAGAACUUCAUAUAUGUUAUAAUUCUAACAUCGUAAAGGUGAUGAGUUCAAUCCUUAAUUAGUCCUUACUCAAUUGUAAGAGUGAGACAGAGUCAAAGGCUUUUUAUUAAUUUUAUUUUUUUUAGGGAAACAGAGUUAAUCCAUUAAAAUUAUCAAAUGAUCUUAUAAGAUUAAGCUUGGAGGUCAAUAAAGAUCUUCAUAACAUCCACUACUCAAAUAAAGCUCUACAAAGCAGGCAAACCUAUAUUACCAUUAAAUGCCAAAUACAACCGUUAUAUUCACCAACUAAAAUGUGCUAUAAAAAGAAAAGAUGAACCUAAGGAAACAAAAAAGCAAAAAGAAAAAAAGUCUCUCAAACUCACCCCUAAUCAAGAAACGCAACCAAUGUGAAGAUUGUCUAGAUGCCUAGAGACCCAAUUGGUGUACGUUUCGAGAAAUCUAAACAGUCAAAUGACUUAAAAACUAAUCAUCCCGCGGAAAGGGAAGGGAGGGGGGGGGGGGGGGGGGGGGGGGUAACCGUCCUCUAGCUCCAAAGCAAGCUAGUUGAGACCAGUUUUAGUUUAUUCUAAUGCCCAAGAGGGCGUCCCCUCUUCUUAGGCACCUUCGCAGUAGUGACUGGAACCUCCACCAAAUCAAUCUCAUUCACCACCGAGUCCAUGGACACCAAAGCCAAGCUAAAUUUUGGACUUUUUUGUCCCCCACAUUCUUUUCAACUCGUUUCUGAACCCUAAUAGGGGAGGUGAAUUUUGAAGAGCCCAAUAGCGCAGGCCUAAUGCCCCUAACCUCACCCAUUGCUUUAGCAUAGUCAUCUCACCUUGCAGCUUAGAAAAGGUCCCCAGGCCUAGUUCCUUCUUGAGGCCCAACUCGGCUCGAAACUCUAAUUUGAAAUUAGGGUUUCCCGCCUUUGUUAAGGAUAGUCUGCUGCUCACAACCGUCGACCCAACUCUAUCCCGUGCCACCGGUACCACUGCCACAAUCGCCACUAAGUCUAGACCAGUCCCCACUGUCAAUCUUGGCUUAGACACCACCGUUUCUUUAGCUGCAUCAAUCGCUGUAAACUCCAACCUAUCCGCCACCUGUAAUAACACCAACCCAGAGAUCUUCUUCAAGUCGUCAUCAUCACGUAUAGUUGUCAUUGCCGUGAUUGAGAAAGCCACAACCUCUCCAAAUUCCAUGACACAUUUCAUAUUGGAGUUCUAGCACCACGUACAGUUACCUCCAGCGAGAAUGAGAAAUUUUGCUGAGCCCAAAUUCUGUUGUGACAUCAAGUGGAACUCUACUUCUUUGAACAAUCACCUUCCUCUCCAUCGCACCUUGGUCAAAAGGCAUGAAACUGCCAAGAGCGUUUCCGAGAAGGGUGACGGCUUUUGGGUUGUGCAUGGCUAUGUGUAAAGCCUUUACUGUUACCCGACCAAACCUCUAGGGACUGCAACGCCACCUUCUUCGGGUUAUCGUAAAACCACAGUCCUCCAUGGAAAGCGUAAUCCCUUGCCUCCACUUUCUUGAAUUGGAAAACAAAUACAAUGUCUUCCUCCUUGGAUCAAAACUUGUUUUCUUCAAAACCACCACAUGUGAUCGAGUUAGUAAAAGUCUUGGCAUGGAACUCCGAUCCUAUACCCAGGUUCGAAUCCCGCCGACGCUAAUUAGAGUAAAUCCCAAUUUAUGAUUGAUGGCUAGGGGAAAUAAGCGUUUUGAAAUGACCCCUCGGCAUGGAUUAGUCUCUAGGCCUAGGCCUUUAGAAAAUCUUUGAGGAUACCGUCGUUGAUACUAGAGUACUCUCAACAAAAAAAAAAAAAACUUGUUUCUUCAAACUCCAUAUGUCGGGAUCGGCACAUGCUUCAGCGUAAGUUGGUCGCAAACAUAGAAGUUGUAAGUUGGUCGCAAACAUAAAAGUAAGGAUCUGACGCCCAUCUUCCUCUCCAGCCAAAGCCAUCGUGUUCUCAUAAAUUAGUGAGAGCCAUUGAGAAGCCCAAGUAGUCGUUAUCCUAAAGCUUGAUCAACUCCAUGCUAGAAAAACCCUAGCCGCAGAGUGAGAAGUCUACGUUUUUUGUUUAUUUUAUACUGCAACCAAUUUUUUUAUUAACAUUAUUUUUAAUAAUGGUUAGACAAAAAAAACCCUAAGAGCACAACGAUUGUCAGGACCCACCCCAAAUUUCACCUUUAAACCGAAGGUAAGUUCUGCGGGGUCCACCUUCAAGAAAAAUUUACCAAAAAUUCGGCAUAACCUUCCUUGAAAAUGGACAAUCCUUACCUGAAAAAUCCAACUUAACACUUCUAUAAUCAAACAUCCAUCCUCAACACCUAGAGCCUUCCUGCUCCCCAAGAUCAUCACAUCUCCCAAUAAAUCAAAAACUAAACUUCUGAAAUUCCACAACCAAUAACAAAGACAACAAUAAAUCACUCUAUAACUGGUUAUCAGAGCAUAUCUAAUACUGAAAGAAUAACAAUGAAUAAAGAUUAAACGGAAGCAGCCUCUGACUAUGCCUCGACUCCAUGUACGCUCGACCUCAAUUAUACUUAGCCUGUAAACUGGGCAUUUAAAACCAAAGGGCUCAGGGGAAAGUAAUUUAAAAACGUUAGAGUGAGUGGACAAAAUAAUUUAAAUAAUUUAACAAAUACUCAAUUUAUAUAUUUUCCCACAUUUCAGCUUUAAAAACUUAGCUGCACGCAAUAUUUGAUAAAUCAUAUAACUUAAAUCCAUAAACCCAUAAGAAUGGACAAACCAGCCCCGCUGGUUAAGUCAAAUAAAGAAAUCUCGUAAAAAGAGAUAAACCAGCCCCGUUGGUUGAUCAAAUAUAUAUCUGAGAAGAAUAAAAUAAGGGGAAGAGUUAUCACCAUGAAAAAGGAGCCUCCCAGGCUAUAAUAGAGUCCCACGCUAAGCGCUCUACUCACCUAUAGUGAGGACCACUAAUAAUGGCUAGCUAACUAAUAAAUAUAAAUACCGAUCGGUUGCCUCCCAGGCUAUAAUAGUGUCCCACGCUACGCGCUCUACUCAUAUAUGAAGAGGACCGCUAAUAAGGCUAUAAUAGCGACUCACAUAUGAUGAGGACCGCUAAAAAGGUUAGCUAGUAAUAAUCAAUAUAAAAGCGACUCUAUAUUAUGGUGACUAAAAUUGCACAAAAAUCCUUUAAAUCCAUAAAACUUCCCCAAGAUCAUACGAAUGGUACGGUUCCCAACCGUACUUGAAAAGCAUAAUAAGAAAUUAUAAUAAACUCAAUGACGUGUCUCACACGUCAAAAUAUUCUCAAAACCAUAAUAUAAGCGAGAUAUAAUUAACAAAUAAAAAUCAUAAUUAAUAUCUCAAUCCAAAAUACUCGCUAAAACAUUCUCAAGGUCAAGAUCGAUAUUCCACCAAUAAUUUCGAAGAUUAUAAAUAGCAAACUACCGAAAAUCUCAUUUUCGGAAAUCUUUUAUAAAUCUCACAAUCCACCAUUAAAACCAUUUUAAUGAAAUCUGGAAUUUAUAAAAAAAAUCCAAACUCAAAUAUCAAAUUAAUAAUCCGAGCUCAAAUCCAUAAAUCUUGACCAACAAUUACAUCCAUGCAUCAAACUCAAAUAAUUUCCAAGAUCAUUUCAUAAGCCGAAGUUAUAAUAUAAGCUCGGAAAUAAAAUAAUAAAUUAUAAAAUCUUGCAUGCAUAUUUCUUUAAAAUCAAAAUGUCCACUCAUAAAUUUAAGCAUAAGCCCGACGAUAACCGCAUCGCCACUCAAGCGAGGUUCCCUUCGUGGGCACAAUAAAUAUGCUUAGAACCACUCUUCGAUUUAGGAAAUUAAAUGCUUUAACUUAAUCAUCGAAAUCCUCCCAAUUAACCCACUAAUAAGCUAAUUAGAUUUUUACCAAACUUCAUCUACAACUUCACUUCAUCGAUUCUAGCACUUUAGGACCAUAACCAAGAAAAUCCAAUGGUCGGAUUUAUUCUAUCAACCGCUAAUUUCUCCAAUCUCUGAAAAAUUCUAAACCUAACCAAAACUCAUCUAAAAAUUCCAAAUUAUACUUCAAUAAACUCCUCUUAUUAAAACCAUCUCAAAAACAGGAAAAACUGCCCUUAAGGGGCGGCGCCGCCGGCAGCCGAACUCCGGCAACCUCCAAUGCCUCCCAAAUUUCAACACAACAAUCCUCUCAACCCGCACGACAACUUCCUUAACUAGCACAAAAUCUAUUUCUAAGCCUAACUAGGUUAACCGAACCAAAACCUUAAAUUGAGCCCUAGAACUUUAAUUAUACAUUUCUCAUUAACAAGAUCGAAUUAGACCAAUUCCUUUUGAAGGAUUACUCACCUUGAUGAGAGCUACAAGAUGAGCCAAAAACUACGACUUAUGGUGGCCGGAAGAGAGAACUCCGGUGAAGGGCUGUCCGGCGUCUUGGGUGGGAUUCCUCUUGACCUGCGGCGUCACACGCUCGGUCACUGGCCUAGAAAGAGAGAGGGGGCGGCGGGGGUCAGAACGGAAGUGGUCCGGCGGUCUGUGGUGGCCGGACGACGGCGGAAGGAGGCUUGGUUUCUAGCGGGUCAAGAGAGAGAGAGAGAGAGAGAGAGAGAGAGAGAGAGAGAGAGAGAGAGAGAGAGAGAGAGAGAGAGAGUANNNNNNNNNNNNNNNNNNNNAAAAAGUCAACUUUUGGAGUUUUAAAUAGUAAACGGUUACUUAAAACGGUAAAAGGUCAAAGUAACCCAAAAGUAAAUAACCGCAAAUUGACUUAAGAACCGGGAUGUGAUAACGACUCGCCUCCAUCUCAUCAUCUCGGCCGACGGCGCCCGAGACGGGCUCCGGCCUUGCCCUCUGAGGUGACUGCCAGAUGAGACUCAAGCUUCUAUUGAUUCCAUCGUCCUUGGGUGACUAUUGGGUAGGCUUUGCCCAAGAUUGUCAUUGGAUCUGAUUUGGCUGGGAUGGGCAUGAAGGGGGAGUGCGUGUUUUCGAGGUCGGCGAUCUGUUUGCUGAUUUGUAUUCUCGCCAGACAAGGUUGCGGUUGCUCCGGUGGCGCAAGUGAGGGAUGGCGGAAUCUAGAUUGGAAUGGGUGUUCUCCGCGAAGGCUUGUUCUGUGGCGGCGCUACUUGAGAUGCUUGGAGUUAUUGACGGUUGAGGCCGGAGCAACGAGUACCAUGCUGGUGGUGGUGGUGUAAGGGCAGGUAUGUGGUAUACACGACAGUUGGAUGACUCGCAUAACGACGGAGGCGACAGUGGGGAUUGGCCCAAAUCUACCUGAUAGGCUUGCGGUUUUGGGCCUUCUUGGUCUACCUUUGGGCGUUUAGUUUAUAUUAUUUUAGUUUUUCUAGUUUUUUCUAUUUCCUAUGGGUUUAUCAUGUAGGACACUAUCACAUGAUUGUUGUGCCUCUAUGUUUUAGGGAAUAUGUUCUAUUUCCUGUGGGUUCACCCUUCAGGAUACUAGACCUAGGGUGUUUUAUGAGUAUGAGUACGAUUAUUAAAGGGUAGUCUAUCCCAUGUACGAGGUGAGGUAUGCUUCACAACUGCUUGUCUAUCUGUAGAUGAUAGCGGUAGAGUAUGUAAUAACUACUUCAGGCCUUCCCUUUACCCAAAUUUAUGAAAGUCAUAAUUGACUAUUUCAAAAAAUAAAAUAAAAAAUAAUGGUUAGACAAGAAAAAGGUUAGACGAGAAAAACUUGUACAAAUAGAACUGUCUGUCACCUAAAUAGAAAAAGAAAAAGUAAAUAUAUGAAACAUGAGAGUCCUUCUAGUGAGGACCCUUAAGUUGAGGACUUGUUAAGGACUUUUCGGUCUAUGGUUUAAAAGACAUAUUUUUCGAUCACAUCUUGUCAUCUCAUCCGUUCAGUUUUUAGGCCUAUAUGUGUAGAUCAACCCUACAAAUUUUCAGCCAAAUCGGUGAUCGUUAAAGUAACAAACUAGAUCAAAUUAAUGGACGAACCAAAUCUGUCAAACAUGAACCGUUCAAGUUCAUAAUUGGUAAAUCACACUUAUGAAUGUCUUAACGAUUUUUAAUAUGGCUGAAAAUUUACAGAAAUGAUCUACUCAUAAAUACCUAUAAACUGAACGGUUAAGAUGUGGAUAUAAGAUCGAAAAGUGGGAUAAACCGAAAAGUCUUUAACUUAAGAGUCCUCAUUAGAAGGGCUCCCUAUGAAAUAUAUGGGACUCCCCUAAAGUAGUAACAAUAGGAGUUUAUUAGAAAGGAAAAAACUUAAACAACUAAAUAGGCCUGAACCCAAAUGUCCUAAAGGGUUUCCCCUAAGCCUAGGCCCAACCCGUCAGAAGCACCAUGCUUGCUUUCAUCGCUGCCACCACCAGAACUACUCGAAGCCACCACUAGACGAAUAAUGAGCAUGAAAAGACCCAAACCAAUUGGUAGCAGGUCUCCAAUGCACUAUGUCAGCAACUCAAACCCUCGUUGUUGACGCCACUACCACCACCACCACCACCUGAAAAUGAUAUGGAUUUGAGAUCUAGAUCCAACCCACGCCACAUUCGCCAUCCCUUGAAACAGUGCAAGAUCUAAAAUGCAUGCCUUUGGGUUGGAUUGAACCUGAAACUAGCGUUGACGAAUAAUAAUGUCAAUCUCCAAGCCAAAAUAAAACCAAUACAACCACAUAUAGAAUUUUGGGAGCCAAACACUCCUCUAGAAACCAAUAUGUUAUAAUCUAUAAUCUGUAUACCUUAUAAUUUUGAAGAGUGAAAUUCACAAUCUUCAUUUUACAAUCAACACUUUUUUAUUUUUAAUAACUAAAAUAAGGUCUUUUAACUUCAUUUUUACACUUUUAUAAGAAUUGCAACCAAGAUCUCAAAAGAAUGUGAUUGAGAUCUGAUUUAUUUGUUCUACUAAUGAAUGUGUCUUCCUUGAAAAUGAAAAAGCAUAAUGUACAUUUGUUUAAACAUAGGGGAAGGGUCAAAAUUGUAUCAAAAACUACUUGAUCAAAAAAUGGUAAAUAAGUCGAAUCAAUCACCGGAUGGGUCAAGGUACGUUGGUUAACAUGAAAUCCCCAUGUCUAGCACUCGCGUCCCAACACUCACCAAUUUAUGGCCGGUAGGUUUAAAGACUCUUUAGGUUCGUGUGUUUGAGGUGACGAAUUAGUUUGAUUCUCAUGAAAAUUAUAAACUUGCUAACGUGUUCGAGAUGACUUCUUACCCAACCGUCAAACAAAAAAAAAAGAAAAAAAAAAGGUCUACAAUCCAUCACGUGCUAUAUGGAAGGGAAGUAGGGAACGACACGUCGUGGGAAUAUGGAAGGGAAAAUCUAAAGCUUCGUCUGGAAGCUCAGUCAUUAAAUACUUUCCACAGUGAGUGAGCUUCUCUAGGAUUUUGAGAAUAAAUGCGGCAGAUUCUAAUUGCUUCCUAUAUAAAACAACCCCACCUCCUUCUCGCCGUCCCUUUCUGCUCCCCAAACCCAAACCCCACUCCAUUCUGAUACCACCACCAUCACCAUGCUUGGCCUUAUCAGGCGAAGAGUCGCCUCCUCUCCCUCGGUAACUCAUUCCUCUCCAUUCUUUUUCCGCUCUAAUUUUGACAACAUUUUUGUAUAACGUCAUUUUUUUUCUCAACAUUUUUGUGCUCUUUUUGGUUUCUUCUCAGAUUUUGGGGCAGUCAUUAUCUUCAAUCCGAUCAAUUGCAAACAAGGAGGUUCGUACUGGACUUUUUUCCUUCUUUCUUUUGAACAGAUUUUUAUUUUUAUUUUUAUUUAUUUUGUUGUUGUUUAUGAUGAAAUAUGAACUGUCCUUUUCUAAUGUUACAGAAUGUGCAUGUCUGUAUUUGUUAAGUAAAUCAGUUUUUACGUCGAAAUGUAACUUUUGUUAUUGCAAUUUUAUUUUCAUGUGCUUGGUGAACAGAUUUUGCUUCAACCUAGAGGAGAGUUGUGUCCGGUGCGAAAUUACUCUCGCCUCAUUUUAGCAGGUAAUUUUGUUGGCAGUAGAUAUGUACAUUUUGGUUGUGAUGUGUUCAUUGUGUAAAUGAUAGUGAUGAUGUUGUAUCUGUUUUCCCUUUUACAGGUUCGUCGCCUAGUAUCAGAACUACAAGGUCAGUGACACUAAUUUUUGAUGUUUCUGUUGGAAAUUAUAAGUGUGUAUUCAUUAUGAACCUGUUUCGAUCCCUUUUUGGUGCAGGGAUGUUCUCGGCUCGGUUAUGCCAGAGCCCAUCGGGCAAAUGUGGAGUAUGCAUUUUUCUUCAGAGACUGGUGUGCUACUUCUCCCCUCUGUUUAUAUGAUUUUUAGUUAUAGUUGUCUGUAUGUUGUCGGCACAUUAAGCUGUUGCACUUUCUUGAAAUAUAUAGUUAGAUUUGUUAAUCAAGCAUUCUUGGAUGGUUUAAGAUUUUGAUAAGUGUGCACCUAAUAUAGCAAUUUACAUGUCUAUUGUGUUUUCAUAAGAAGACUUGGCUCUGACUUAAACCAGUAGUCUAUUGGCAGCUUGAUUGUGAGAAGUUUCUCUAGAUGUCUUGUUCUUAAUCUUCUGUUGAAGUGUGAAAGUGGAAGACUUCAAAAAUAUAAUCUCUCAAAAACACACACACACACACAGAGUUAAACUUUGGUGACACUCCUGGAAGGGUUCGGUUCAUAAUAUAUUGGCCUUUUAGUAAAAAGGAACCUUAUCUUUGGUAUGUCGGUGAUCUUUAGUUCCAUUGUGAAAUUUGUUGAUGUUUGACUUGUGAAUGAUUGUGUAAUGAAGGGGAUUUGGUUGACGCCGUUGUGCCUUUCAUGGGUGAAUCUAUUAAUGAUGGAAUUUUGGCGACAUUCUUGAAGAGUAUGCUUAACCAAUUUGAUAUAUUUGAUUUUCUUCAAAUGGUUACAAUAUUAAUUUGGUAUAUUUGAUAAUGUCUGCAUUUGGUAUUAUGUGAUAGAGUCUGGAGACCGGGUGGAACUCGAUGAACUGAUUGCUCAAAUUGAAACAGAUAAGGUGAUAUUACGAAGCUCUAUGUAAACCUAUUUAUGGAAGCUUA
rnacentral:lncRNA from 1 species